rnacentral:lncRNA from 1 species
GCCCUGAACCUCAGCAAGGGUUCUACGUCGCUGUUUUGGCAGAUAGGAAAAUGGUUAUUCUCCUUGGAGACUUGAGGAAAGAAGCUUACAAGAAAACUUGCUUCAAUGCUGCCAUUCCCAGUCAAGUAGCUAAUUCAAUCUUUGUAGCUAAGAAAGAACAUGUCUUUGGCAAGAAAGUGUUUGCCACCAGAGCUCAGUUCUGCAACGAGGGGCGAAUCCACGACUUAGUGCUGGAAUGUGACACGAUCGGGGAUGUUAGUGAUCCGUGUCUUGUGGUUCGAGUGGACUUUAAGACUGUGAUGCAGGUCAAGAGACUGCGUUGGAAGUUUCGUGGUAAUCAUACUGUGGUGGUUGAUGGAAUGGAAGUGGAAGUCCUGUGGGAUGUUUAUAACUGGUUAUUUGGUGUUGGGAAUGCUGCUGUGUUCAUGUUCAGGACUUGUGGGAAGUACUUGUGGCACGAUUCGAGCUCGUGGAGGCUUCUUGAUUCGAAAUCGGGUACUCAUGAUUUUUCGCUGCUGUUGUAUGCUUGCAAAGAGUGAGUAAUCUAGGAAGCUCUGUGAUUUAUGAAUUCAUUGCUUACAUAUAGUUUUGUGAUUAAAAUUGAGCAGUUGAAUUGAUCAAAUACAAAAGAAAGAUUGUUCAUAUCUCUGCACAUGGAAUCCUUUCUGUCAUCCAUAUAUGAAUCUACAGUAAUCGCUUAGAUAGAUUCUCACGUUUACCAAGGAAACAGUUUACAGUUCAAAUCCAUAAUGGAUUGCUGCUGCCUCCUAUUUUAGUACAGUCUCAUGGUAUGACAGAACUUAGCUAUCAAGCAAGAUCAGGGGCAAGAUACAAGCUUUAACACUAUAGCCUCGAAUCUUUACCUCGAAUGGUCUGCUCGGUUUGGUUCGGUUGGUUUGUUGAUUUUAUCUUGGGAGACUAUUGUCCAAUUGCUUUCCGCUAUCAUUGUCAUUUAUACCUCCUGGAGUUCUGGUACACCACCAAACUGGCUAUUAUCUGCAGAAAUCAAGCAAGAUUAGAGGAAAAGCUUCAAGCUUUAACACUAUAGGCUCUAAUUUAUAGCUCGAGGGGUUCUGAACGGUUUGGUUGGUCGGUUGGUUUGUUAGUUUGUCGUUUUGUUUUGAGAGACUACCUUUCCGAGUCCUGCUACUCCACCAAACUAGCUAACCAUAGACUUGAGCCAGAGUAUCAUUGAUAAACUCUAACAGUAUCAGCUAGAACAUCACCAGAACUAGCUAGACAGACUCGAGCCUGAGAAUCAUCGAUGAAUCUUAACGGUUAUCAGCCAAACAACGAUCGACAAAAGACUACGACGAGACCAUCAGCUGAGUAUUUUUGCAUCAAGUUUUUGGACUAUAGACUGUAAUUGACUGGUUGGGGGGAAUAUGGUACCCACCCACUGGUUCAACCUGAGUAGAUUCUUCACAGGCUCUUUUGGUUUGUUCUUUUACUGGAUUCUGAUGUCUGGUCUCUUUCUGCUGUCAUUUCUAGCUGUUACCAUGUUGUUUGUUUGCUCUUUGUUGGAAUUCGAGAGAAUAUGGAGGUACUUCUGUACAAGUUGACCACAGAGCUUGGGGGUAGCAAGUCGAGUUUGUUUCGAAAUAUGGUUCAUACGAGUUUGGGUGAGAAUGAGACCCGGAUUGGAUAUUUAUUGCUUCGUAGUAAGUUCGUAUAGAAGUAUAUGUUCUUUGAUUUUGGGUCAAAAAAUCAUCGAUAACCAUAAUCAAUUGCUUGGUCGCGGAUGCUUCGAAAAAUAGAUUUUGGAAUGGUGGAUUGAGUUUUGGUAGAGGAUUUGACCCCAUAUGAAGAAUAGCCCAAUGGGCCUUUAGCCUAGAACCAUAAUCACUCUGCUUGUGUGAUCAUUCCUACUACUUAUUAGUCGGUUUAGGACGAAGGCCCAUAUAAAAGUUAAUAUUGCUUGUGACCAUUGAUCAUUUCGAUCUAGCUGAUUGUGUUAAUGGGUAUCAAUAAAAAAUGGAUCACCUAGUGGUUCUUGGGGGAUCCAGCCCUGAAGUCUAUUAGACUUAACUCAUCACAGUUAAAUCUUCACUUACAUACAAAUGUGACAAGAUGAUUUGCAUACUAUAUCGUGGGCAGAUUAUCGUAAAUUCAAAAGGAAUAUUUCCUUCGAUAUAUACUUUUAGUCUCAUUGUCCUUUUCUAUUUGCAAAUACGACAUAUUUUUUUAAGCUCAUUACCUUACUUUAGUUUACAAAAAGUUCAUAUGAGACUGAGCCAGAUGAUACAACUUAAAUCCGACAAUCACAUAUUCAAAACUUCUUAUAGUCUUAAACUAGUCAAUCUCAAUAGUAGAAAAAUUGUUCUUUACCUCUUCUAGCUUUCCCCAUUUGUCUUUUAACUCCUCAGCAUCUUAAACUAGCCGAUACUAUUACUUUUUUUUUUUACUAAAAUUUCAUGAUUAUACUAACCAUUAAGAUGAAACCACCAUACUCAAUGUCAACUUAUAAAAUAUUAUACUACCGACUCAAUCAUAGACAAACUGUUAUAAAUUUACAAAGUAUAUUCUCUUAAUACGUAUUAUUUGAUCAUUUAUUUUCUUAAUAUAAAUCUUACGUAAUUCUUCAAUUUACUAUCUUACAUCACUUGAUUUACGAAAAGUCUAUACAAAACUAAACCAGACGAUACAACUAAAACUCGACCUUACUGUUACUACUUUGCUCUUCCAUUUAUGGCUUAUAAUUUCCCUUCCAAAUUCUCAACCAUACAAAAUUAUUAUUCUCUCUUUAUAGCUUUUGUUUUCUCCCUUUCUUUUGGGCUGUGCCAUUCUGCCAUGUGCACAAGCCUGGCAUUCUCUUUACGACGCCGUCUGUCGCCUAAUUUAUCACUAAGCUACUAAUUAAUUUCGUAUUUAUUUUAAUUUUGUUUUCACUGCCAAGUUUGGUGUGGUUUCCAUUUGUAUUCUGCUAGUUUAAAACACGUGUUGAAAUUAACAAAAGGCUAGGGGUGGAUCGGCAUGGUUUUAUGUGGGUAGUGGGUACUCGUUAUUUCGACUUAUAACGUGUCGGAUUAUAGGAAUAAUUUUAGCUCAAUAUGCCCUAUGUAGCUUUAAUUUUUCUCUUAGUCUUAGCAUUACGAUCUUACUUUGACGUACAUUUUGAUUAGAUUGACAUGAUAAUCACACUAAAAGAUUGUAAGAAAAUGGUAUAAGAUUCAUAAUUAACCCUUUUUUAACAACUCAAAUUAUUAGGAUGCAACACUUCAUGAUAGAAUUACCAAAGGCUAGGAAUGGGGGCACAGUUUUGUAUGGGUAGUGGGUAUUCCGUUGUCUCGACUCAUAACAUGUAGAGUUGUAGGAAAAUUAUUUAGCUGAAUAUAUUAUACGCAAUUUCCAUUUUUUAUUAACUUUCACGAUAUUUCUGGAGUCGAAAAUCUUUUUUUUUCUUGAAUUCCUCUUAGUCUNNNNNNNNNNNNNNNNNNNNNNNNNNNNNNNNNNNNNNNNNNNNNNNNNNNNNNNNNNNNNNNNNNNNNNNNNNNNNNNNNNNNNNNNNNNNNNNNNNNNNNNNNNNNNNNNNNNNNNNNNNNNNNNNNNNNNNNNNNNNNNNNNNNNNNNNNNNNNNNNNNNNNNNNNNNNNNNNNNNNNNNNNNNNNNNNNNNNNNNNNNNNNNNNNNNNNNNNNNNNNNNNNNNNNNNNNNNNNNNNNNNNNNNNNNNNNNNNNNNNNNNNNNNNNNNNNNNNNNNNNNNNNNNNNNNNNNNNNNNNNNNNNNNNNNNNNNNNNNNNNNNNNNNNNNNNNNNNNNNNNNNNNNNNNNNNNNNNNNNNNNNNNNNNNNNNNNNNNNNNNNNNNNNNNNNNNNNNNNNNNNNNNNNNNNNNNNNNNNNNNNNNNNNNNNNNNNNNNNNNNNNNNNNNNNNNNNNNNNNNNNNNNNNNNNNNNNNNNNNNNNNNNNNNNNNNNNNNNNNNNNNNNNNNNNNNNNNNNCUCCCCGCCGAUAAAGUAGUUUGUAAAUUGGUGAUUUGAAAUUUCGAAAUCGAAUUUAAUAUGAUAAUGUAUCCGCAAAAUAUAUUUUUUUUAAUGUAAAUAAAAAUGUCAUGAAAUAGACACCUUUUUAACAUAAACAUAAAUGUCAUUGGGUGCUAAAAACCAUUAGUAGUUAUAGAAGUAGAUUACUAUUGGCCAAAUGUAAAACCUAAGUAACAUUGUGUCAUGAACUUUCAUCUAAAUCAACCGCUCGAGUUGUUAGAAAAAGUUAAUUAUAGAUCUUAUACUAUUUUUUUCAACAAAAUUACAUGUUUAAAAUUUGCACAGACUCAUCGUACCUUGUGUUUUUAAAACCAGAUGUUAAUAUUGGAGGGNNNNNNNNNNNNNNNNNNNNNNNNNNNNNNNNNNNNNNNNNNNNNNNNNNNNNNNNNNNNNNNNNNNNNNNNNNNNNNNNNNNNNNNNNNNNNNNNNNNNNNNNNNNNNNNNNNNNNNNNNNNNNNNNNUGAUAAAUGAAGCUUAUGAAAAAACAUUUCUUUAUGAGCUAAGAGCCCUCUAGUUAGUACGGUAAACCCUAGUAUAUAUAAUCUCACCUUUAUAAAACAUACCAGCGCGAACCUUUCCGAUUCGGUCAUCACUCAUCAAAACGGCUCGAUACAACUUCGAUAUAAUCACUUAUUCAACUAUAAUUUUAUAACCACUUGGACAUGUUAGACUCACCGAUUUGACCCUUAUUCCGAAACUGCGAAUCUCACCUCAUACCACUUUCCAUCCUAAUCAUGAGUAUGCUCAUUACUCGUUAUAUAAUGACUUAUUAGGAUUUGGGUUCAUCAUUAUUUACCUUGUUAAUUUGUAUAUGAAUAUCCCUUUUCAUUCUCUAUUAUUUUGGGGUCAAAUCAAAGAUUGGGGCGUGAUUGAUGGGUUGUACAAUAAAAUAUAACGCGUUAUUUUUUAAUGUAAUGAUUACGAGGCUCACCCACCGCCGGCCACCACCACCACCGCCGCCGACGAAAUUAAUCAUUUGGUAAGUAGAGAAGAAGAAUAUCUUAUAAAUCCACCGCCGGCCAAACCAGCUAGCUCGAUCUCUACUGUUUAUUCGCUUGUCGUUUUAAGGAAGUUUCUUCAGUCAUUCACUCCUAACUCCCCACGUUUUAGUUCCCAUUCUCACGACAGAACAAGGAUCGAAAGCUAUACCGACUUUAUGGAAUAUUAUUAAUGUUCAAUGAUAGUGAUGGAAAUGACGGGUUUUCGGGUUUGAAUUCAAUAUAUAUUACACCCUACGAAAUGAACGUUUUAAAAAUUUAAUUUUGUCUCUUAUUUUGUAUUGACCGAGAGUCUCAGUCUACUAUGACAACAAAAUAUUAUGACAGAUGAUAUUUUCCUCGCUUUUUACCCCCCUAAUAACGGCCAGAAUUAGCAAUUCUGCCGAAUUUCGCAUUCAAGCAGGAAUUUACUGGAAUUGGUCGGAUCAUAAACAAAAUUGGGGGGCCGGAAUCAAUUGGAAUUGAACCUAGCUCCGACAGAAUCAGAUUCCAUUUUUUUCACAUUCGAAAAAACAUAUCAACCACAGUUGGACGCUCGUUCGUAAUUGGGUCCAACUCCGCCCCAAUUCUGGCUUCAAUUCUCUGCCCGAGAAACAUAAGCUAAACACCGUUCGAAAAUGGUGAAUGAAUGGCAAUUCCCUUAUAAAAAAGUGGCUCGAAUGCGGCUUUGAAUUCCGUUUAAAAUCCAAUUCCAGUUCGUCAAGUGGUUCGACAUGCUAUACUAUAAUAAUACAUGUUGCUCAACAUACAAAUAAUUACAUACUAGCAAUAAAUUAAUUAGCCAAUGAUGUCAAAGGAAUAGUCAUUAAUUAAGCUCAAAAUUUGGAAUCGGUUUAGCAUAUCCCAAUGACAAAACUUUGACCACUCGUAUGUAUAAACGUACAAAAUCUUGUAUUAUUCAAAAGAACACAAACAAUAAAUAUUCAAUAUUGUUUUUGGCAAAAUUUUAAUUAAAAUAAUUGUAUAUGCAAAUCUUUUAUUUUGUUCGCUGGAUCCAACACAAGUCACAUGAUUAUCAUAAGAUGUUUGGUGGUAGUGUUGAAGAGAAUAAUUUUACUUGUAAAAAAUUUACCGUUGUUACUCUUUUUAAUGGAUUUCGAUAUGUUUGUUGGGGCAAUAAUUUAUUUAUUAGUUAACGAUGUUGGAUUGGCCGUCUGGUUUUAAUGGGCACCAAUUAAAAAUCGAUCACUCAGAUAUAAGUGACAGAAUUGGGAUGGGGCAAUCCAGGCUACCACUUAGAAUCCUCUAAUGUGAGAGCUAGCUAUGAAUUCUACAUAUAACACUUAUAAAAAAAGUGAAUUCUACAUAUAAUUUUCGAAGUCAAAGUUUAUGUCGAGUUCUUUUAUAUGGAUUAGACAUUUAAACUUGAAAUCCUGUCCAGAGUCUCGGACCUUAACGAUUCCAUUUUUGCUAGGUACUCUUGGGCGAUAAAGUUAGCCAGACGCCGGCAAGACUUGCCCUAUCGUAGCUUGAGUUUUGCUUAUCAUAGUAUAUAACGAGAUCUCAACGGACCACCUGAAAUUAAUGACUAAUAUCGCCAUGAUUACAUUAGCCAUCAGGAUGAGGGCACCCUACCUAGUGCUAGACUAUGAAUACUGCCUCACUUACUAUCAUGGUCCUAAAUCCUAAUCCUACAUUAUUUAUAAACUCACUUCCUUACAUCAUCCUAUUUUCGAAAAAUUUGCACAAAACUGGAUUAUAUAACAAUAUCUGAACCAUAGAAUCAUAUACUUACGAUCUUUUAUUAUCCACCCUAAACAAAUUACACGACUAAAUACAACUCUCUGUUUUAAAUAAUGGAAUCCAACUCAAAUUAUUAAAAUGACUUCAACAGAUGAAACAUAAGCACCUAAUCACUCAAGAAUUUGGCUAGGAUCAUGUUCCUAUGAUGUCAUAAACACAUGAAUCAGAAGUUAGGUAGAAUGUUUCUAGAAUUAAUAGUAGCAUUAGGUGAAAAGUUCAAAGCAAUUUGUAAUUAAUUAACUAGUCAAAAUAAUUAGGUGCUCCAUUAUUCUCAUCACUCCUAACUUUUCACUAUCGAGAUCAACAUCCCAAACUUAAGCAAUGGUUUUACGUGACUAAUCAAUCAUCUCCUCUUCAAUUUUUUGCUCUCGAAAAUAAACGUUGUUGAAAUUUAAAUGUUUUAUUUGAAUGGAAAAAUGUUCAAGAUUUCACUCCGCAUUUCACUUGCCAAAUAAACCAUAGUUAAAAGUUGAUUAUGGUAUUUGUAUUAUACGUUCGAAUGAUCCAAUGGAAUUUCUGUUGGAGAUGAAAAAAAAUCUACUUGAAAGGGUUGAUAAUAACUGUACGGGUUGAGAACUUAAUUAAAAUCGGGUAAAUUUUUGUCACCUCUAUGAAGAAGAAAAUUUGAGGAUCUCAAAUUCUAUUAUUUUCUAAAUGGUGAAUUUUUAACUUAGACAAUCAUAAACGGAGAGUUUUUAUUAGCUCUACGAAACACGUUUUCGAAAAGAAAAAAUUAGUACAAAAGGGUAAAUUAUAGAUUCAAUAACUAAAAAAUUAAUUUGAAAUGAAAAAGAAAAAACGCAUAAUUAAAAGGUUUUUAUUUUCCACGUAAAUUACUGCUGAAAUUAGGAAGCAAUUGAAUCAUGGGUAGUGAUGAGGUGGCGCACUCUGGUUGGCCAAUCUUACCCGGACCAUUAAACCUUGAUGGUAUCCUUUGCGGCUUCCAGGUGGCGUACAGCUAUUUGAUGCCUGUCCCCCGUAAUCACAUUUGACUCCGCCAUCUCAGCCAAGACGACGCCGUUAAAUACGAUGGGUUACGGCUCUUCUUUUACCAAUAAUACCCUCUAGCUACUCUAAUUUGCUAACCCUAACGGGUUUAACCAACUUCAAAAACCAACUCAAACUACUUGAACCGAAAAGUAGCCGAAGAGUAAUGAUGGUUUGGUGUUCGUUGCGCGGUUAAAUAGUACGUAAACUUUAGUUUUGGAAAAACGAUAAAAGAAAGAACAUUGAAUAUUAAAACAAAUAGAAAUUACGGUAUCGUAUAAAAGGAAAAAAAAUGCAAGAAAAUCAUAGUACUAUAAUCGUUGAACUUUAUUAUACAAGCCAAUCGAGUUCUAAUUUAAGCAAUCACCAUAGUAUUUGACCUAAAAAAAGAGACAAACAGAAAAUCCAAUUCAAAACUACAAAAACUUAGCUUCCAAAUGUUUUGCGGAUAAAUAGAUGAUACAAAAUAAUUCGAGAGUAGAAUCAACAAUUAUCGACGGAUAGUUUAAACCAUACUCCAUAAAUAACAAAUGAAAGCAAAAGAAAACUACCCCAACACUAAUUCGCACCCGUGGUGAAAUUUUAUAGUUUAUAGUGAUUAGUGUUUGUUGUCGGAAAUAACUAAUUGUAAGUAACAACAAAAUCACUCAUUUAUGUACCAUUUAUAGUAUUUAUGAAUACCAACUAUAAAAUAUCAUAUACCAACAAUAUAAAAUACCACAUGUAUUAAUUAUAUCGCUAAUUCAUAGUCACAUAAAACUAGUGUCUCAUUUUAGCAAAGAAUUCGAAUGUUUGAAGUUCAAUUUGUUAGGCGAUGACACAAUGGAGUUGCUCGUAGAUCGGCUAGACAUUCUCGCUUUUUAAACUUAUUGUCAAUUGAUGAUACUUUCUCACUAGUUAAAACGAUUUAUAUACCGACAAAUAUCUUAUUAAGAACGAAUGAUACGAGGAAUUUAUAUUUUUUAGAAAUUAGUUACAUGGAAGAGUAAAAGUCAACCACUUGACUAGAGGGGGCAUUCCCGUCAAUUCAAACCACAACGGAAAAAAUUGUCGGUCGUAAUAUGGCACCACGUCUGAGGGCAAUACUGGAAUUCAACCAAAAAACAGAAUAUAACAGCGGGAGAAUAACAAUCAGAAAGAGAGAGAGAAGCCACCAAAAGAGGAAAGGGAAAGAAAACAGAGAAGAAGAAGAAGAAAGAAGAAGAAAGCCAAAAUCCAGAAGGCAGAAGAAGAAGAAAGAAGAAGCAAAAUCCAGUUACGCCGCCAACAAAAACUCACUGAGUUGACUCAAUAGACCAGCAGCUAUGGAGGGUUCGAGCGGCGAAUCGGUUUCGAUACACAUUGACGACAUGCUGUCAUUUGGUGGGAAGGUAAAGGAAAAAGAAAAAGAAAAACUGAUGAUAAAUGGUGAGAAAAUUAGUAAUGGUUGAAAAUGAUUGUCUUUUUGGAUUACCAGGAGUGUGUGGUGAAGACGAGCAAAGGAGCAAUCUCUGUGUAUGUCUGUGGGGAUCAAGAGAAGCCGCCUUUGAUUACUUACCCAGAUGUUGGUUUGAACUGUAAGGCUUUUUUUAUCAAUUUCUUUUGUCGAUCUGUGCUCAGAAAGUUGGUUCCUUUUUGGUUCUCCUUCAAGCUUGGAAGCUUCUGUUUUGAUGGGGUUGCUGUGAUUUUUGUUUUUGUUUCGGGGUUUUGUUGCUGGAGAUUUGGUUUUGUUAGCUAGCUGUUUUGAAAAGUUUGAAAAUGGGGGUUCAAGGAUAAUGGAUUGAAGGUGUUUUCUUGGUCUGCAAUGGUUUGUUUUUGCUGGAAACAGCUGCAUCGAGUUGGCUCGAGUUGUAGGGAGUGGGUUGUAAUUGGUUUAUGUAAACAUUUCUUAACAAAAUAUAAGUAAUUUGGAAGCUAGCUGUUUUUGAAAAGUUUGAAAAUUUGGGGGUUUCAAGGCUAAUAAUGGAUUGAAGGCUGGAGUCUGCUGUGCUUAUUUGGUCUGCAAUGGUUUGUUUUUGCUAGAAACGGCUGCACCCCACUAACUCGAGAGUUGUUGGGAGAGGUUCAUGAUUGGUGUAUGUGAAGUUUGAUAAUGAGGUUCAAGUAUACUGGAUUGAUGCCUGGAAUCUUGGCUUUGUCAUGGGGUUUGCCUUGAUGUGUCAUGUGUGGUGGAAAGGAUUAGAUGCUUUGUUUGUGAAACUUGAAUUGAGUUUGAACCGGUUAUGCUUACAGUUCUACUCUUCCUUUUGACUUGGUUUCAUGGCCAAUUGGGCGGUAUGGUUACUGAUUGUUCUCUCUUGUUAUUGAGCGUUGUGAUUUGAUUAUGGUUUUGUUGUUGCAGUCAUGUCUUGCUUCGAAGGUCUAUUCUAUUGCCCAGAAGCAGCUCCAUUGUUGCUUCACAACUUCUGCAUAUACCACAUUGAUGCCCCGGGCCAUGAGGUUACUGCCUCUCCUUUCUAGUUCACCCUAAAUCUCUCUUUUUGAUACUGCUUCUUCAAUUCGGCUUGUUCAUCAUUUUGGCUUCCUUGUGAUAUACUAAUACUAGUGAACUUUUGUUCAAGAGUUGUUGCAGUUGGGAGCUGAUGUUAUAUCUCCAGAUGCUCCAUUGCUCAGUGUUGAUGACUUGGCAGACCAGGUUGCCGAAAUUCUUGAUUACUUUGGGUAUGAACCGAACUGAUUCUCCACUUCUUUAGGCUGGCAUUUAGGUUAUUGGAAGUCCAAAACAAUCAAUUGUUUCCCAUUUCAGGCUGCAGCAAGUCCUAUGCUUAGGUGUUACUGCUGGUGCCUAUAUUCUUACACUCUUUGCAGUAAGUUUGAUCAUAGAAUCAUCCUUAAACCGAUUUGCAUUUCCGGUUUUUACUAACGAUUCUUUCCGGUUCAUUCAGAUGAAAUAUAGAGAACGCGUGCUCGGACUGAUUCUUGUUUCCCCCAUAUGCAAAACUCCCUCAUGGACUGAAUGGCUUUACAAUAAGGUUUGGCCUACAUUCAACUUCGUACCACUCUUGAGAUCUCUCGCAAAUUUCGGGACUUUUUGCUUAGGCUAUGUUCUUUUCUUGCAGGUGUUAUCGAAUGUAUUGUACUUCUACGGAAUGUGUGGGAUAAUGAAGGAAUGCCUUCUCCAGCGUUACUUCAGUAAGGUAUUGUUGGUGAGUGAUUGGUUUUUUCAUGUUUUUUCCCUCGUCACUUGUUUGCAAAUAGCUUAUAGUAUAGCCAUCGAUUUUUCCGAAAAAUAAUAGGAAAUGAGGUGCGGUGUGCAUGGUACGGAAUCGGACAUCAUUCAGGCUUGCCGAAGGGUGAGCAAGAUCUUGUCUUUUCAUAGCAAUCAGUUCAUGAGAGCAUCGUUCUGAUGGUUGGUAAGACCGAUUCUUGCACUGUCUUAUGACGAAAAUUUGAUGUGGAGAGACCUAUUCUUGCACUGUCUUACGACGAGAAGUUGAUAUGAAGCGAAACCCUGGGACUGAUUGAGUAAAGACCGUCUUUUUGGAUGCAGGAGACACGAUCUUUCGGACAGCUUGCACAAGCUGGAGUGCAAGACUCUUGUAUUUGUAGGCGAAAGCAGUCCGUUCAGGGACGAAGCUGUGUACAUGAGUUCGAGAAUGGGCAAGCAAAGCUGCGCGCUUGUCGAGGUAAGGAACUCUUGCGACUAUUCAGAACCGGUUUUGUGUGAAAACCGAAAAAGGGAUUGAUCUUUCCACAUUUUGAAAAACAGGUUCAGGCAUGUGGAUCACUGGUGACAGAAGAACAUCCAUAUGCAAUGAUAAUCCCAAUGGAGUUCUUCCUCAUGGGUUUCGGUUUCUACAGACAACCGACCGAGUCGUCUUCUUUGUCAUCGAGUAAUGGAUCCAACCAUUCGAGUCCCUUGGGGGAAUGCUGCAUUGCACCGGAGCUUCUGUCUCCGGAGAGCCUUGGUAUCAAGCUGAAACCGAUCAAAACUCGUAUAAACAGCUGCAUGAUCUGAAUUGAAAUGUUCGAGCUGAUCCGGUUUCGAGGUGCAUACUAGUAGAAGAUCAAGACCAUAUACAUUAUAUAUAUAAGAAAUCUGUAAUUCUUUGAUUGUAUUGGAGGGAGAAUGGAAAUUUUGUGAUGAGGGGAGCUCUUUGAAAAGAUUCUCCUACUCUCUGUGCAAUGUAGAUAAAGGUUGGAUUUAGUGAUUAGGAUUCAAAUCAUUGAAUUUUUCUUUUGUUUCUGGACAUUCAUUUGUAGCUCAUACUCUUUCAUCUUUGUAACUCAUUUCUCUGUUCUGUAAUAAACCUGAGUGUAAUGAUGAAGAGACUGAGGUUCUGAUAACUUCUCUUUUGAAUUAUGGUUCGUGGGAUGGUUCGAUGUGUUCGUUCUUCGUUUAUGUGGUAAUACGAGCAGCCUCAAAGUAUUUCUUUUGAUAUUCGACAAACUCAUGAGAACAAGACAGUGUUUCAAACAUUGAGUCACGGGAUGGUUUGACGAACUCAUGAGAACAAGACAGUGUUUCAAACAUUGAGUCACGGGAUGGUUUGACGAACUCAUGAGAACAAGACAGUGUUUCAAACAUUGAGUCACGGGAUGGUUUGACGAACUCAUGAGAACAAGACAGUGUUUCAAACAUUGAGUCACGGGAUGGUUUGACGAACUCAUGAGAACAAGACAGUGUUUCAAACAUUGAGUCACGGGAUGGUUUGACGAACUCAUGAGAACAAGACAGUGUUUCAAACAUUGAGUCACGGGAUGGUUUGACGAACUCAUGAGAACAAGACAGUGUUUCAAACAUUGAGUCACGGGAUGGUUUGACGAACUCAUGAGAACAAGACAGUGUUUCAAACAUUGAGUCACGGGAUGGUUUGACGAACUCAUGAGAACAAGACAGUGUUUCAAACAUUGAGUCACGGGAUGGUUUGACGAACUCAUGAGAACAAGACAGUGUUUCAAACAUUGAGUCACGGGAUGGUUUGACGAACUCAUGAGAACAAGACAGUGUUUCAAACAUUGAGUCACGGGAUGGUUUGACAGGUUCGAUGUUCAUUUAUAUGGAACUGAGAAGAAAAAAUAUUACUUACAUCAGCAUAGGCGAGAUGAUGAAUCGGGACUGUAGGUUGAGAUAAUAUCAGCUCCUCGUAGCAGAAAGCCGCUUGCUUAUACCUAAUUUUGACGGUUGAAAUAUACAAAUCAAAGAAACGUAUUCUGUAAUUCGGUAUAGUGAUUCACGAAAGGGCAAAAAGAACGCUUACAUCUGUAGGGAGACGUAUAUCUCUGCAAGCUCUCUCCAGGCGUCAUGAUCUGCCAUGAAUCUGAAAAUGAGAACAAGAGCACAAAACCAUAAUUGAGUAAUGGGGGAUCACUGACUUGAACUUAAGAAAGUAGAACUGCGAGAUCAGUUCUCACAUUUCCAGAUAUUUGUUUAGCAAAUCAAUGGCUGCCGAAAUGUUGCCCUGUGCCUUCGCAACGGCAAUCCUUCUCUUGUGUAUUACCUGCACAAACGAGAAAGUGAUAAGAGUCAGAGUUUUGCAAGAACUUUCUACGUAAACCUUCAGUGAAGACACAUUAUAUCUUUUGCAAACAACUUAAUAGAAGGAUCACCUGAUCCAACGGGUUGUCCUCCAGAAGGCUUGAGUAAGCUUGCUCGGCAUCUUCCCAAGAACCCUUUGCUUCGAGCAGCAUUCCUUCCAAUCUGCCUAUGAUCCAAGCCAAAACGAUACAACUAAAUCAUCAUGAACGGAGACAAGGUCUUAAAGAACGGACAAAAACUUGGAGUGCACAAAUCUAAAAUCAACAUGAAAGUGGUUCUGAAACGUGAUUAAGGGCUAAUUUGCCUUACCAACUCUUUUGCUCCCUGGGAACUUCUUUUGCAAUACAGUUAUGGAAUCCUGCAAAAAUUUCCAGAACAACGUCAAAUGAACUACCAAAUAAUGAAAUCAAAUGUUUGAUUAGACAGUCAGCUAAAACAUGCAAAUCAGCCAAAAAUAUUUACAGAAUCAAGAGUGAAUCGGCAGAGCUCUCUGAAUCUAGGAUGAAUUCAAAGUUCACAGUCAGGCUGCUUACAAAACAACCAGUAAUUGCAUUAACCUCUAUACGUUGAAAGCCAUCAAGGAAAGUUUCUAAAUUUACGAAGCGAUCGGUAGUACCUUGGCAACAUCGAGAGCGUGGCAAUCCAUAGCCGCAAUCGCCACUUGUUCGUACAGAGUCCACUCUGCAAAACAAUACACGAUCCAUUAAUCAAAGCAGUUCAACCCAUAUCACAAACAAGAACACUGAGCUUAUAUUACAAUUUACAUACUCAAGCCAGUAUAAUCUAUAAGCUUAUUCGAGCUGCUCUCUAAUCAGUUCAUACUCUUCAGAGUAAAAAGUUUCCUGAAUUCCACCUUUUGAUCUCACAUCAUGGUAAUUGAGCUUAAGCAGUCUAUCACCAGACCUAAUCUCAAUCAAAUACAGAAGAACUAAGCAGCAAAAAAUCGAAAUAAAAAGGAAAUCUAUACAAAGAGAUGCACCAUCGGGGCCGAGGCUGGAUCGCUUUCGGGAGUCGUUCAAAAUGGACAGGCCGUACUUCAACACCUUAUCCGAUCGCCUAACCUUGAGCUUCCUCGCCAAGCAAAGAUACUCCCAGGCGCCUCCUCCGCCAUUGUCGACCUGGCUCUCGAGCUUUUCCAAUUGACUCUCCUCCGUUUUGGUCACCAUCUCCCUUACGGGUUUCCUCGCAAUUCGACCGAGCUUCCCUCAAUUUCCUUCGCUAUCAACAAUCGUUGCUCGACGAAGCUUACGAUUGGAUGUUUGAUGAUCUUCGUCUCUGCGUUCCUCCGCCGCUUCUCGGAUCUGGUUCAAGAGGCGCUGCGUUGCUUUGUGAAAGUUAAAACUAGUGGGGUCCACGGUCCACUAUGUUAAUCAUCAACUGAUUGAACCGCACUGAUCAAACCGUUCCAACCAGUAUGGUUAGAGAAUAUUGUUUUUUUUUCUUUUCUCCACUUCUAUUUAUCAAAAUAGUAUAUUCACCACCGAAUUUCGAUUCUUUUAUAGUUAAUCGAUUAACGAUUACAAAUAUAAAUAACUUACGUAGCAAGAAUACCAAAAGUCACGGUUAUCCCGACAACAUUACCACGGUUAUGAUAGGAAAGCAGUAGAAUAUCCCGACUCUUUAAUUCCAGUGGAUUUCAGGACCGAUUAUGAUAUAACGAUUUUAUAGAACCGAACCGUUUCACUUUCUGCAGUUCGGUUUUCCGGGUGGCUAGAAGCACAACGAUCAAAAUCCAACCCAACCAGUCCCACUUACACCAUUCAAGCCAAUCUCAGCCGUCCAGUUAUAGGAUGAACCAAAACGGUGCCGUAUUCCUCACCCGCUCUGUAGUUAUGAAGCCCGCGAAACCCCAUCAAUGGAGUCUUCUUCUUCCUUCUUCGGUUGCUAAAACCCUACUACCAAUCCACCAAACGACGAUUUGUGGAGAACGUCCUUGGCCAUCUCUUUGCAGCUAAUUGCAAUGGGCUCAAGGCAUUGGAGCUCUUUAGGUUUUGCCUGAAGCAUCCGGGUUUCGUCCCGAGCGAGGACGCUUUAGAGAAGACCCUCCAUAUCCUCGCUCGGAUGCGGUACUUCGAGAAAGCCUGGGAAUUGAUGGAGGAAAUUGCUGCAUUGUCAGGGUCAGAGUCAGGGUCGAGGUUGAUGAUCACUACCAAGUCAAUGAGCAUUGUACUGUCGAAGGUGGCGAAGUUCGGAUCGUACGAGGAGACGAUCGAGGCGUGCCACAGGAUGGAGAGGAUGUGUAAAAGGAGGUUUGGUACUGAAGAGUUCAAUGUGCUGAUCAGGGCGUUUUGUACUCGGAGGGAGAUGAAGGAGGCGAGGUCGGUUUUCGUUAAGUACCACGAUCAAUUUGCUCCCGAUUCGAAUACGAUGAACAUAGUGCUGCUGGGGUUGAAGGAGUCCGGGGGAAAUUACAUUAGUGCAAUGGAGCUUUUCUACCAUGAGAUGAUCAAGAGAGGGUUUAAGCCUACCGGUUCGACUUACACAGUCCGGAUUGAUGCUUAUUGCAAAAAGGGUCUCUUUGGUGAUGCUCUGAGGAUCUUUGGAGAAAUGCAGAAGGCUGGCUGGUCGCCGACGUUGCAGACUUUCACUACAUUGAUCCACGGAGCCGGGAUCGCUCAUAACGUGCUCAAAGCCAGAGAUCUCUUCAAGGAAAUUCGUGUUCGGAACCUGCAGCCUGAUGCUGCAGCUUAUAAUGCACUGAUCAGCACUUCCAUAAAGUGCAGAGAGCUGAAGCAAGGCUGUUUCACUAAUGAAUGAGAUGGAAGAGAAGCAUGUCGGGGUAGAUAAUGUGACGUACCACACAUUGUUCGUAGGGUCGAUGAACUCGAGCGGGAUAGAAAGUGUCUGCGAGCUGUACGAGAAGAUGGUGGCGAAGAGAUUCGUUCCGGAAGCGAGGACCUCUGUCAUGCUGAUGAAGUUCUUCUGCGCAAACGGUAGAAUCGACUUCGGGUUGAGGCUAUGGGAUUACUUGUUGAGUAAUGGACAUUGUCCUCACGGACAUGCUUUGGAUCUUUUGGUGAUGGCGCUGUGUUCCAGAGGAAGGUAGCAAGAGGCCUUGGAUUGCUCGGUGCAGUUCGUCGAGAGAGGGAUGCGGCUGAGCGAAUCGGUGUAUAGGAUGCUGAGUAAGUUCUUGGAACAGUGUGGUGAUAAGAGUGAUGAGUGGGAAGAGCUCAACAGGAUGAUUAAGAAGCUACAUUUGGUUUUGCCGCCGUCAAAGGGCCAUGCUCUUGGUAAUCUUUCGCUAUAGAGUGAUGUGGAAUUCAACGAAAAUUCGACCAGUCAGUCGAUGUUUUGGCUUGCGGUUGAGGUCUGGUUUUUAGCUCUGGAAGUGAAUCCUGAUCGGGUGAUGAGAAACCAGCAGUUAGCUGUUCUCCUGGAGUCCAAUAGUUCGUAGAUUCUGCGGAACAUUUCAGAUCAGUUCGGUGGAUGGGGCGCAACGCCACAGCAUCAUAGCUUCCUAGAGAUGAAAGCCAUAACUUGUGCUGUUGAGAAGAGCGAGUUAAGCGGGUUGUGGUGUUCAGCUCGUGAAAAAAUACUAGAAAGUCAGUUCGAAAUUCUAGCUCGAUUGUAAGAAAGUCGACAGACCUAGAGCCAACCCUGGCUCGGCUUGACUCAUAAUCGCGUCUGCUGGUUGAGCUAGGCUCGUGCGUCGGCUCAUUUUUAGCUUAUGAGCUUGAUUUUGUCCUUUUAUGAGCUCACUUGUGUAACAGCUUCUUUCAACCUCUGGAGAUCUGCUCAUGAGCCGAGCUCAGUUAUAAUGGUUAGCAAGCCAAGAUCGUUAGACUAAUUGAGCCGAGUUUACCAUGGCUAUCGAGCUAACUCGUUAAUGGUGAUUUACUUGGAUCAGAGUUCAUAAAAAAAUUACUAAAUUGAAGUGGGAAGUGAAAUUAGAAAUCAUCAACUUUGGCAGUAGUAGUAUUCUCUUUGAAGCUCUUGGCAAGCCAAAUAGCGGUUUCUCUGGGAGAAACUUUCCCGGGACCAAACGGCUUCAGCAGCACACCCAACUCAUCGUACCUGUCCUCCUUCAGUAGCCUGGCGCUGAACUCCAGCAGCCCUUCCAACGCCUCGGCUCGCUGCCGGUACGACGAGGUGUCGAACUUCCGACGCCUCGCGUCCGACGAGGUGGUGGUCCUGCUCGACGCCCCUCCAGCUGUGGCAUUUUGGUUGGACGACGAUGAGUUGUUCUCGUCUUCACCUUUCUGCUUCAACAUGCUGAAACGGAUGCCUUGCCAUGAUGACGUGGUGCAUUUGUCCUUGGUGAUCGUCGUGGAACGAUCGACGAUGUUUCGUGGGGGCGAAGUUGUUUGGAAAUGGAAGAAUGUCUUCUCGUCGGGUGAAGAUAAUGGGAACUCGGGUAUCCUGUCGAUUCGGGGGGCGUUGACCGAUAUGUCUGGAGACUUCAAGCUCUGGAGGAUAUCAGGUUGGUGUUGUUUUUGUUGUCUAGUGGAUUUUGUCUUAGGAAUUGGUAGAGACGCUCUCCGGUUUGGUAGAAUUGGUUUCUUGAUCUACAAGGAAAUGGCAUGAACUGAAACUCGAGACAUUGCUUAAUCGAAGAAAGAGAGUUCGAAUUAAUCUUACCGGUUCUCGUUUCUUCGCAGGAUCUGGCUUUCGAGGGGCAGGAGAGGCUCUGGAUGAACCUACUGCUUUCCGAGUUUUCGAGGCAACGGGCUUACAGAUCACUACAGUAGCACGGCUGCAUCCAAGAGAGACGUCUGACAUUCUCCGAUGCAUUGCUUUGGUGGAGCAGAUUGAGUCUCUAUCCGUUGCUGAUAUGCUCGGAUUCAGCAUCCUGUUUUCGUUACAGAAUGAGUCUUUGGCAGCCAUUACCGUGUCCAAGAAUCUGGUUUUCAUGUAGUUGUUAUCUGGCCAUUGGUACGGCAAUGUGUUGUCUCCUCUAGGACUAUUGAUCUUGACGUGUAUCUUGUGGACGUAAGGCUGAAGGUGUGGAUGCCUUAGCAAUUCCGCAGCCUGCAUCAAACAUUCGAAAAGGAUCUUCGUUGAUUAUCGAUAUAUAAUCCAGUUCGGAGUUAUUGUGAACGUUUUGACUUAUAAAAUACCGUCGGCCUGAGUUCUGGGUUCUUGCGCAGCAUGCUUUUGAUGAGACUUCGACUGGAAAACAUAUAAAUCGAAGAUCAAUCGUAAAAAAACACUUGACUAGAUCAAUAAAACAAGACGGAUUCGAGAGUUGACUUACAAGAGACUAGAGUAUUGGGCUGGGAGUGGAGAUACUAUGGAUCUGUUGAUUUUGUUAAUCAAGGCUUGCAUAUCCUGCACAGAGUGAUGUUGAAAUUUAAACAUAAGAAGAAGAAGCAGAAAAAUCAAUGAAAUCAAUAACAAAAUGGCUCACAAAUGCUCGGAAUGCAGGCUUAAGGGAAGCCAUUUCGUAUAUACAGCAACCUGGAUAACGGAAUGAUGAAUGUUAAGUAUAAACAAGUGUGCACUUCAAGUAUAGUAUGGAAAACUUCUACAUCCAGUUUACCUAAAGACCAAAUGUCUGAUUUCGAACCGUAAGGUAUGUCAGCGAGAAGCUCGGGGCACAUGUAACUAGGAGUUCCCACAAUCUGAAUCAAGAACAGUAGUUGAAACUAAUUUAAUGGCCUUUCGAAAACGAGAUGGAGGAGGAAUUUGUGAAAUUUUGGACUGGUUCAACUUACAGAAGAUGCAAGGUCGUCGGAAGUCAGAAUUUUAGCAAGCCCAAAGUCACCUGCAUCAAUAUUGACUGUUAGUCUGCUUUUGUAAGUCUAAGAACUAGGAUCAUCGUUAAAUGCUUCAACAGGUAGCUUACCGAGACGAAUGUCUUGACCUUUCGUCAAGAAAAUGUUGGAACACUGGAACAUCGCAAAAACCAAGUUGGCCGUUAAAAUUCCAUAUGCCCUGGAGAAUGGAUGAUACUUAUACGUGCAUAUAAUAAUGGUCACUUACCUUGACAUCACGAUGAAGAAUGUGAUUCGUGUGCAAGUAAUCAAGCGCCAUGAGAAGUUGAACAACCCACUUACAUAGCUUCUGAAAAAAUUUCAGAUAGCUAUCAAUCAGAUGCUGAGAACCCAUAAAUCCAAUAUCUGCAUCUAUAAAUUUAUGAGUCCUAGAACUUUAUUUCAAUGGACCGAUAAAAAGAGGAAGAAAAAGAAGACCUCUUCUGAGAAAAGAACACCAUUGGUUUUUCUUAUAGCAUCAGCCCUGUAUAACAAAUGAAACAGAAGAAAGUAGAGCAGAUUACUCUUAUUAGCUAACUUCCAUUUUAGAAAGUAUUUGAGUCAUGUGUAACGAAACUUUGCAGAGAAACAAGAGCUUACAUGUCUCCUCCUUCACAAUAACCUAUGAUUAUGCAGACAUAGCAACCCUGAGUGGAAAAAAAGCUAAUCAUCCUACGUUAGACGUGUCACUAUAAGGAACUUGUUAUGUAACUAUAUGUAUGCAGGUUCUAGGCCAGGCAAACCAUUCCCAUUAGUCUAUGAACAUGAAGUACUCAAGAGGCCAAUAAUCCAAAUCCUGAACCCUUACGGAAAGUAGAGAUGAUCAGAUGAUGAUGAAGUGGUGUACCUUUUCAACCCAGGAAUCUUUGUACUCUACAAUGAAAGGAUUUCUUAUUCUAGAAAUCAGCUCCAUCUGCACGAAAGUGAAAAUGGGUCAAGACCAUCAGCUCAAGGUCAAGUAUUUUAAACAUAGAAAUGACUGAAACCAAUUCCGUGGCCCUUGCAAAGAAGAAGAACUGACCUCUUGAUGAGCUGAUCGACGUGAUCUAUCAGUUUGACGGGCAAGACGGAUCUGUUUUAACACAUACCUAAACGCAGCAACAGAUCAAAGUAAAGUUAAGGAAAAAAAGGGGAUAACAGAAGAGAGGAAGCUGAAGAAAAAAUGAGAGGUGAGAGACCAAAGGCAUAAUUUCUUACAUCUUCUUUUCAUGCUUGUGCCUCACAAGAACAGCAGAGCCGAAUGACCCUUUUCCAAUCUGCUCCAGUACCUCGUACUGAUCCAUGCCAGCAACUCUGAGCUAUUAACCUAUUACCUGCAUAUAGAUACAAAAUCACCAUCAAUAUUUAUCUACACAUUAUCUCAACCAAAUCUGAGGAGUAACAAACAAAAGACGAAGCACACAUUCCCAAAACGAGAAAAUUCCUCUUCUACGAGUAAGAAACAAGCAUCAAGAAACUCACUCAAAGCACUACGGAACUUCCUAAAAAUGAGAGAUUAGUACAUUACACGAGUCAUUAGCGCAUUCGUGCAAAUCUUCAUUAUUAUAGAAAGUCAUUAACAACGUAUAAACAAAGCGUUUGACUAUUGGAUUUGUCCACAAUUUCUAAUUCAACGCAACAGAUUAGAAUAUCGAAUUCAGAUGAACAAUUCGUUGAGCAUUGGAGUCCGAUCGUCUCUCCAUCAUUACCAAAACAGAGAGAGAGCUGGAAAACUUCAAUGCUGAAAAUGAAAUGCAUGCAUUGUGGUUAGAUUCUAGAGAGUAGCAUAUUCUCGUUCCAAUUUUCGUAGCCAUUAAUCACAUAAUCGACGAUGAUUCAACAAUCAACAGCAGAGAAUCCGCUAAUCCGCGAAUAAAUGGCGGAGGAUAGAGCCCUCAGUCCUUCACAUAAACUCUGGUGCUAAGUUGCUCAGCAAAUCAAACAGUAUCAUUAAACUCAUCAUCCAGCUGAUAGCAAGAAAUAAACAGAGACCGUAGAAUUCAUCCGAAGCUCGCUCACACUCUAAAUCAAGCCUUCCAAACAACGAAAUGUCAAAUUCAAAUAAGACGAAAAAGGAUGAUCGGGCAAAAUGCGACUCCAGAGGAGCAGAAAAUUAGGAAAGCGAGGCGGAGCAUUAAUCAGCGGAUUGAAAUUCAAGAAGCAAGAAGGGAAAGCGAGCGAGACUGUCACCUGACAAUGGCGGAUGAGCUGGAAACGCGGAUCGGUCAUCAGAAUACGGAGGAGGAGGAAGCGGCGAGGAAUGAAGAGUCUCUGCCGUCGGAGGAGGUGAGCAUGACGCGGUGGAAUGUGGCGGCGAGAGGCGUUUGCUUGCCGGGGGUGAAGGUAUGGUGUUGUUGCUGGAGGAAGAGCAGCAGUAGCUAUGGCGAAAUGGACAGUGUGAGUUUCUGAAAAAGGAAGAAAAUGACAAAAACUUUGUGAGUUAUGGAUCACAACCUUCUUUAUUUAUUUUUUAAGGAUUUGUUCUUUUUUAUAUAUAUAUAAAAAAGGACCGGCAAGAAAGGUUUUGGAACCGGUUCACCCGAUUAAAUCAUUAUGAAUUGGAGCGAAAUUAUAAUUAAAUCGAAUUAUUUUGAUGGGUGAUUCACGAUCGGAUAAUAAGUUUUAAUACAAGAGAUCUCAUUGAGUCCAUUUAUUUGAAUUUAUUAAUUUUGUUUUAUUAUAAAUGAAUAAUAAGAUAUAUUUAUAUUCGAAUUCUAGUUAAAUUAGUUAUAAAUAUAAAUUACAUAGUGUUCAAAAAUCAUAAUACUGAAUAGACGAAUUUCAUGUCCAUGAAAUUGAGGAGGGUAGCAAUUGGUAUCUGAAGGUUUAGAUUUCGAAUUAAAAUUUUUGCUUGGACAAUAAAAAUAGGGGUUGUUUGGUUUAGGCGAUAUAAAAAGUGUCUGUCCAUAAAAAAAAAAUUNNNNNNNNNNNNNNNGUGAUACUAAUUAUUUUAUUUGCUCAAAGUCAUAUGUUGUCCUAUCCAACUAUAUGAUUGAUGGGUUGUGAAUUGUGAUGAUUGUGAACAAGUGAUCAUAGUAGGGUCCCUUUUUCAUUUUGGCUACAAUUUUGAAUUUGAAUGGUUAGAAAUUAUUAUUUUUCCAUUUUUGUGAAAAAUGAUAUAGGUUCACACAUUCAUUAAUAACUCACUAUUAAUAUAUGUGAUAUCAUACGUAUGAAAAUAUUCCUAUCAAAUUUAAUUUAAUUUCUUGAAUUGUUAUAGGUCUGUUGUUGUUUAUGUGAGGAUGAGAAUGAUCCAAAAUAAAAAAGUGCAUCUUUACAAACAAUGGUUUAAAAAUGAGUGAUCAUUACUUAUCAAAUUAGUUUGCAAUGUGAAGUAAAGCAAAUCACUCUUUGCUUAAUGGUUUCAAAUUUGAACCCCAAAAGGCAAAGCAUUGCUCAACUAUGAUUUUGCAUAGAGUGUGUGUUCGGUGACCCAAAAGUUUUGAAUUUGAAUCUAGUAUACCCCACCAAAUAAACACCUUGAUAUGUUUACUUUAUAUUUCCUAUUUUAUAUUGACCGAAAGUCUCCGACUAUUAUAAUAAAAAAACUUAAUUCCGACAAAAUGAAGUUAAAGCUAAUCAAACCGUGGAUUUAGUCUUAAUCGAUAAUUCAAAACAUUAAAGUCAAUGGAACCUAGACAAAGUGCUACCCACACAGUAUUGCAAACUAAACAAAAACUAAAUAUUUAAAUUGGGGAAAAGAGGUUUUUUUUGUUAAAAAAGGCGGACAGUCUAUAAUUAAUCGUAGAAAUUACGCGUGAGAAAACAACUGCAUCAUAUUGGCGUAAAUACAAUCAGACACCUCGCGAGGUUUAAUGACUUGAUAAUCAUAUAUCUUUCUUGAGCAAUAAAGUUGGCCGGCCAUCAAUCUCCGAUACGAUUCUGAAAACCGUGCAUACUCAUAUCUACUGAACCAAUUUUUCUUUAAUGGUUCAUUCACCAAAGAGAAGAUAAGAGGGAACUUGGAAAGAGGAUCACAUGAGCCAACAGAGCUUCAAGCUGUCAACUUUAUAGCUGUCCGUAUUAUUUACUGCUAACUGUAUAACAAGACUUUCUGCAAUGAAUCCCACCCCAUAACUCUUGGAAAGUUGUUCGGUUCGACCGAGCGCAAAAUCGUACCGGAACUCGAAUAUCAAAGACUGGCAGUCUAGAGUUCAGCAUCAGAAGAACCAUUGCAGAAACAAAUUGCACUUUGGAAUUCCAUUUUUAUUGUAUUCUGCAGAUUUUACAAGAAUAAGAUUAAGAAAUCCCUAAUGUUCAAGUUACCUUCAGUCUCAAGCAAUCAUUCUAUUUCAGAACAAAAAAAGCAUUCAUCUUUGAGGGGGGUCAACAGUUCGGACGUUUGUGCUGUCCCAAUAGCUUCGACUCGAUCUUUGGUGAUGUCGAUUUAAUGGAACUGUUUCAGUCCGGAAAGUGGAAGAAUUAUGGAGGAUCUAUCAGCACCAGCAACCUACAAAUUUGGUGCUUAAAAGUGUAACUGAUAGAUAAUAUGAAUCCACCAAGGUUUGCAUCAUCACACAAAAAAAGUGACUCACCUCAGAGAUCCUCAAGAAAUGGCCACGAUUAUUACUGCCGAGAUCGAAGAAGAACCUCUUUUGGUCGACUCGGAUGACCUUCGACGCCCCUAGGUUACCAAUCUCGUCCUGAGUUGGUAAAUCGACCGCACGAUCCACGUUUAGUUCCGGAGUCGGAGCAGUUUCGCUGCUAUGCCCUGGUAUGAAGCCAGCGCCAACAUCGUCAGAGAGCCCAACUAGACGCUCUGAUGAUUCCGAACUUCGCUGGCACUCGCAAAAUGUGUUAGAUUCAUCAUUUAGAUAAGGAAAUGUGGAAUGUGUACAUAUAUAAAGAGUCAACCUGAUUGGCUGGAGGGAGGAAAAGCCUUGAUGCUUCGUUGAGCUCUUCCAGAAUGUUUCUAAAUGAAGCCCAACAUUCAUCCCUGGAACUUCCAGCAGGAACAAUGAUCGUACUGCGGUUUCUACUAACAAAAGCUUCUGAGAUCUGCACAAAAUGUCGUGUGCACACUGUAAAGGCAAGAGCUUUCCUAACCAAAAUGAAUGGAGGCUUUCCGAACUAACUUAACAGAUCUUCAAUGGACAUUACAAGAAUGGGAACCUAUGAAGAUUCUCGUGUUUAAAUCCAGAGUGUUUAGAAUACUUGACAGUUCUUUAUUCUUCUGGAUGGAUAAACUAAUUAACUAUUCUCUUUCCGAUUCGCUAAUAAAUCUCAAAGCAUGUACAUAUCUAAUGCAUAACAGAUUCUCCAAAUGUUCAGCAUUCCUUGAAAGACGGCACAAAAUAGGAAAACUUUCACAAAGAACCAUAGUUCACAAGGCCUGAACAAGCUUAAGUGUGGCAUUUGAGUAUUGAGUAUGGAAGCUUCAAGUUUCCUUGAGGAAGCGUCCUCUUCUGUUAUCCCCAACGUCAAAAUAGAACACCUUUCAUGCACAAUGCAACAACAUAAGUUACAGAAUUCCGAAAGGGCGAUAAAGAAUGAUUAAGAAGUUACCUUGGUGUCCAACGGUAACUCCUUGCUGAACAAAUCCUGCUCAUUAGAAGUGACAAAGUAAUUGAAGAGGUCCAAGAACCAGGCAAUACCGGAUGAAGGGACGAUGAUCGUAGACCUGGUGGACGAAGUCUUCUCCGAGAUCUUCAAGUACCGGCCUCGAGGAUUAUCCUUCAAAUCAAAGUAGAACAGCUUGUGCGCCACUUGGAGUGUCUUGCACAUCAGCUCAACAUCCUUCCCUCCUCCUCCACCUAUAGCAUUGCCUCCCCUGCCGUCACAGCUGCUGUCGAAAAUGCCAACCCCCCUCCGCCACCACCCGCAUUCCCCUCCAUCGUCGGAGCUCGAGAAUGCUCGGAAUCAGGUGGCAAGUUUUCCCCUUUCUUGAUGACUGAUGAAUUACCAAAUGAUGAAGUUUCCUUGAUCAAGUUCAAUCAAUCUCAACAUUAACAGGGGUUGAACAACUCCAACUCAAAUUCAAUCGAUCAUAAAACUAAACGAAAACAGUGAAAUCAAGCACCAUUAAUAAUCCUUAAGUUGGUACGGAAACCCUAGUAAUUGACCAAAACCAAAGUAGGAGAAAUUGAAGAUCAAAAUCUGAUCAGAUUGAAAUGGAAUUUCCAAACGGGAACUGCAAUCGACGAUAUUAUUUACCUCUUGGAGGAAAUUGUAUAAGAGCUGAUAGUGGUUUACGAUCAGAAAGCAACUAAUCGGCAUUUCUUCUUCUUCUUCUCCAUCUUCAUCGUCUGACAGUUUUGAGUUUCUCUUUUAGCUUCACAAUAGCAAAAGGUCUGAGUAAGUGACAAAUUAAAUGGCGGCGGCGCGUUGGAGUUGACUAAAAAACGUGCACAAUACGCGCGUCUAGCCCAUUUUUUAUUGGGCCUGGCCUUUUUAAGAGAAUCCUGAACUCACACGGAAACGACCCCGUUUGAUCUUUGGAUCUUCGUCUCCCUCCGACGAUUCCUUUUCUUUUCUUUUGUCAAUGGCGACGCGUAAAAUAUAAACCUGCAGUGCGAAAUUUCUCCAUCGAGAAGAUUCGUCGACCCUUUGAUCGUUCGUUCGUUCGUCUCCGAUUCCUCAGUUGCUUCCAGAUAUGUCGUCUACUGCACCAGCAGCUGCUUCCAGUGCGAUUCAACGGAACCAAGUAAGUAUUUUCUUCACCUCCAAUUUCGAUUUCGGGGUUCCGUUUGGUUGUUGGGAAAGUUUCAGAUGUUGGUAUAUUUUUUUAUUGAUGCUAGGUUGAUCUAGUUGACUUCGUCGACUGGUCUGGAGUUGAAUGCCUUAACUACAACUCUGGCCACCCAAUUGCCAAUGCUCUCAAACAGGUGAUAGUUCUGUUAAGGGUUUUGAUUUGAACAUCUGUUGAGCUGUUGAAGCAGGUUUUUGGUCCUAAUGGUUGGCUUAAAUAUGUUGUUUCAGUUUGUCCAGUUCAUUGUACUGAUUAGAUGAAUUUCGUUGCAUGAACUAGGGUUACAGAACAGUUUUACCAGUUCAUUGUACUGAUUAAGUGAAUUUGUGCUUGAAUUAGGGUUAGAUAGAAGUUUUACGAGCUCAUUGUACUGAUUAGGUGAGUUUUUUGCAUGAAUUAGGGUUACAGGGAGGAUGAUGGGUUGAACUUGGAGAGUGAUGCGGAUGAGCAGCUAUUGAUUUACAUACCUUUCAAUCAAGUUGUUAAGCUGCACUCUAUUGCUCUCAAGGGGCCUGAAGAAGAGGGUAUGUAGUAUGUCAUAUGUACCGUUUCUGGUUUCUAAUCUUUCUGUCUUAUACCAUUUAUCACAUCCAGGUCCGAAGACAGUGAAGCUUUUCUCAAACAAGGAGCAUAUGGGGUUCAGGUAUUGGUCAGCUUGUAAUUGGUUGAGUUCGUUUCUCUCGUUGAAAACAUGUCAAUGGAUCUGCUGACAGUGUUUUGCGAUUGCAGUAAUGUGAAUGAUUACCCUCCUAGUGAUACUGUCGUACUGUCAGAAGAUGGUGUGCAGGUAGAACGUUACUUUCUCUUUUCCCGAGCUUUGGCUUUGUUAUAGUCUUGGGUUUUCAUCAGGGAAUUGAAAAUGGUUGCAUUAACUGUUGCCAUGCUCUGAUGUGUAGGGAAAACCUGUACCGUUGAAGUAUGUUAAGUUUCAGAACGUCCGUAGGUACGUUGAAAACUCUGAGUUAUUGAAUUGAUUCUUCGUACAUUUCUGUUAUAUAUGGCACUGUUUGAUCGUGAUCUGGAAAUUCUGUUCAGUGUGACGAUUUUUAUUGAGGACAAUCAGGCUGGGGGAGAUGUUACUAAAGUUCAGAAGAUUGCAUUGUUUGGAUCCACGUAAGUGUUUAAUGCUCUCCCCUCCUACUUCCUUAUUUGCAUUUGUGUGCCAUCGUUCGUCUUAGUUAGAUAAGGUGUAAGGUAGUUAGUACUUGAUACGAUGUUGGGAUGUUGGGAUCUUGACUGGCCACCAAAUAGAAAUUCCUCCGAUUCCUCAACCAUACCAUUGCAGAAUGUUGUUGACUCGAUCGUUCCAUGUUAGGAGGAUAUUCUGGCAUUGCAUUCCUUAGUCAGAGUUAGCCUUAUCAGACACUAUCAUUAGAACAUUGGUCUAGACACAAACAAACCAGGCCACAGACCACCAUAUAGAAACUCCUUCGAUUGCCCGAACGUAUCAUUGUAAAAUGUCCAUGGCUUGAUGGUUCGAUGUUACGAUACUCUGGCAUUCAUGUUGCUGAGACAAAAACUCCUGCAAUCUCAAACUUGCUAUAUUAAAGUUUGCCCUUGCUCUGAAGCUUCAGUGAAGUCGGAAUUUACAUUGAACAAGGUGGUUUGUGGAAAUGAAAAAUCGGUUUCGAAUGUUUUGUUGCUUAAGUAGAUAUUUCUACUUCGGGUUUAAGUGUAUGUUCCUGGAUUUUGCUUCAUUGUCUACAAAGUGAAGACACCAUUAACAUGAAAACUGGCCGGAGUUUAACCAGGCCAGGCAGCUAAGGAAACUCGAUUAACAUCGCAGGGAAGUGAUUCAUUCAUCUUGUUUCGAUACAAGAAAAUUGGCUGAAAUUUAACCAAAUCGAAAUGAAAGUGGCAAUUUGGGUCGUCAAAGUCUCCGCAUCAUAAAAAAAGAAAUCUAAAAUGAAAAUACAACAUGCACCAGCCGGGAAUCGAACCCGGGUCUGUACCGUGGCAGGGUACUAUUCUACCACUAGACCACUGGUGCUUUAUUGGAUAGACAGUCUUGUUGUUUAAUUUGAAUGGUAGUGAAAUCAUCAAUUUAACAUGGGAUCCAAAAGUGACCAGAUAUGGUAAUAGUAAAAUCGAAUUCCAAAAAAAGAGAAAUACAUAAAAUAUAAUUCAUUAUUCAAACUAAAAUUUAACAUGAUAAUCAAUCCAAGAGACUUAUUUUCAUUAACGCACUAUCCAUAAGUAUGCUAGUCCAAGUGUACCGUAAAAGGAGGAGUGUCUGGCCGGAGGAGGAAUGGACGGCUGGUCAUCGCUGGAGCAUCGGAGAUUGGUGGUCACCGGUCGAUGUUCGAGUGAGAGCUUCUGUCUUGAGGGAGUCUGUAAGUAAUUAAUAUAAAUAUCAAUCAGAAUCCUUUCCCAACAAUUCGAGUUAUUGGGUUGCAACGGUUCUUGACAGGGACUGUAUGCGGAGCUCCGGUUACUUCGUUUAUAAUAACUAAACCCAGGAGAAGAGAUCGAGGUAAGCAACGACACCAUGAAAUCUCAAAACCUCAAGGCAGCCUACAAGGACAAAAAGACUACCACUUGGAGAUUCAACUUCCUCCACCUUGAAGGUUGGAGCCAUCUGUCGAGGUUCGCCCUGUCGAAAUCUCCCAGAUGAUCGUGCGUGUGCCACAUUACGAGCUAAGGCAUCUACGAUAUUGCCGGAAAACAAAUUUUUCAAGAUAUUAAAUUUUCGGUGUCAAAACUUUCUGUCACAGAUGACUAUUAUUCGUCACAAAAUAGUUAGGGCAUAAAGAGUUCUAUAAUGAUUUUGCGACCAAUCAUUAGUUCAGUGGUGCGGUCGCGGAAAAGUUAAUUUUGUUGUGUUCUAUAAUAAUCUAUAUGCAUCGUUCUUGACGAGUUUUCUGCCUCUGUCAUUGUCGUUCCAAGUCAUAGAUUCGUUCACCAUCGAGAUGACCGCACCGCCGUUCGAGCCAUCCUACGUCUGGAGAGUUGAAUUAAAGACCCGUCGAACCAUGGGCGGAGAUAGUACUCCACAAGCUCGUGUUGGAACCCAUGCCGAAAGUGACGCUGAGGCUGUUGGCGGCAGUGGUUAGUUGCGGGGUUCCUCUGUCUCACACUCGGUACGACGUUCUCGACGAGACUACUCGAAAAAGGAGGUUCAUGCCAUGGUCGAUAGGGUCUACACCGGUCGACUAGCUAGCUUUUGCCCCCACUAUGACAGAUUGCAAUUACCUUAUGAAUUAAUGUAGUUUCUUUCCAUUGUUAGUAACUCAAUGUUCUUUGUCAUACAUUUAAGAUACAUUUUUAACCACCGGACGACUCUGUUACCUGAAUGACGAGUUAAUGUUAACAAAAGAUUAUUCAAAAGGUUAUAACAAGAUGACAUCUUGAUUUUUGGCACAUCUGAUCACUAGCAAGUCACAAAUUCGUAACUAACAAAUUUUUUUGGCACAUCCGAUUCCGGUUUGAUCAUCGAUUGGCUCGAACACGGUCUCGUAGUCCAACACAAGUCCGCCUUCUGAAUUCGAGCAUUGGUCCACGAUUCGAGCUGUUAUGUAAUUACCCCUGCUUGCUCAUUCUUUAUCGGCACACUCACACAUUUAUAUAAAUGCAAUUUAGUAGUGUAAUUAGCCGGAUUAUAUUGAAAUAUGCACGGAACCGCAUUUUAAUUCGAUCUUUUUUCUCAUCGGACAUUAAAAUUCAUAAAUAAUUUGACGAAAGUGAGCUGAUUUAGAAAUAUUUUAACACUAACAAAAUAUUAAGUGAAAUUGAUUUUAACUUUAUUUACCUUUAUUUACCAUUUUUUUUACAGGGAUUAUCAUAAUAAAACUUGAUUUUUAGCCAUUUCCAACAUCCAUGUGAAAUAUUAGGCAAUUUGAAAAUUUUUAAUUUUCAUGUCAAAAUUGUCAAUUUCCAUGGGUUAUAACAUAUGAAAAUUGACAAUUUUCACAUGAAAAUUGAAUUUUUUUAAAUUGGCUAAUUUGGUUAUACUGAUUUAAAGCGGUCAAUACACCCGCUAACUAUUCUAACCAUCAACCAAACAUAUAUGUAUAAUUCACUACCAUAUAAAAUUCCACAACAAAAAUGCAAUAUCAUAUUAACUUAUAAUAACCCAAAGUCCCAAACCAAGAACGACCCAACAAGGCAAUAAUUGCUAGUUGAUGCUUAGAUGUUACUUGACAUGUCCUUUUUUGUGUAUAUACAUACAACUUUAUCACAUAAAAUUAAUGGUUAUACUUAUUAAUCGGCUAACCAAACCAAAUACCAGUAAAUAAUGGUUAGUUUGGUUUAGUAAUGGUUAGUUUGGUUAUGAUUUUAAUUUGGUUAACAAUUUUACUGUCAUGAUUAAUAUAUUUUAUGAGUUAAUUGGUUUGGUUAUACUGAAUUAACUAAAUUAAUAAUCUUAAAAAAGACAUUUGCCUCGACAAUCAGAACGGAUGAACACACAAAUUUUCUUGCUAGCUUUACUUCCGACAAAUGAUGUAUCUUGGUCGAAGGAUCAAACCGACCUGACCCACCAAUUAAACAACUCGAAACGGUCAAAACUGCCAAGCAUGCUUCAUGCAUUUUGCAGGAAAUUUCCAUCCCUUUUGGACAAAUUUGUCUUUUUAUGUUAAGAUCAUCCCAUGUUUCAUGCCAUCAUUCCAUUCAUUUUUGUUUAAAAAAAUGAACGGCUAUAAAUCAUCGUACGUCUUGCAUGUAUUGAAUCGUCUUGAUGACUGGUUUACGGUUCAAUAUAUCGAAUCGUGUAUAGUGUAACAAUAAUAAUAUCAUUAUGAUCCUUCGAAAAGAAAAUUCAUUUUAAUUAUACUGCCACGAAAUCUCUAUGUUUCAUCAUGCAAAGGUGUUACAUUUAUCUUCUAUCUUCAUCUAACUCAUUUUAUUGGCUUAGACAGCUUCAUUAAAAGUAAUAAAGCAAACAAGUGGAAAAAUAUAAAAGAGAUAUUAAAUAGCUAGAUGUGUCACAUCAUCGGCAUUAAACAGUGUCAAACGUGCCACAAAAUAAACGUUAGACAACUCAAAUUAGAGUAAUUAUCAACAAUCCAAUGAUAACUAUACAAUGUUUUCAAAGAGAUAGCUUAUCGUGUAAUAUUAACUUUGUUCGAUUCCGACCCUUUACAUUUUCAUGUACUUCUUACAAAAUUCUAUAUUUACAAAAUCAAACAGCCCAACGGUCCAACCGUACAUUUCAUUAUCAACUCAAUUCGACACAAAUUGAUUCAACCACCAUAUAAUAUUAACUCAAAACGAUUUCAACCAACUAAACUACCGUUAAACUUACCGAUUUGAUCCCCGCAACAAUAUCAUCGAUGCCAGAGAAGAAACCUCCACUUCCGUGUAAAAUGAUCGAUUCGUUAUAAACAGAAAAUCACCCCCCCCCCCCCCACCCCCCUCUGCAUGCACUUUCCUGCUUCAAUGGCUAUUGGUUGGCAAUUGUCGUUUGCUAAAUCACCAAUUAAGGCAAGCAAUUAAUUAGUACGAAUGACAGAUUACCUUCGUCACUGAAAAGGAAAGAUAGAGAGUAGCCUUCUUUGCCUUUCUUCCCUUUCUUCUAUCUAUCUAUAAGUAGCGGCAAACAAAGCUCCAUUUCUCCUUCACCAUUCUCCCAAGUCUCCAGCUAGCCCUUCUUCCUGCUUCUUCGAAUCAGCUCUUCUCCAGGUAACAAAGAUGGGUUUCUGGGUUUUUUUGCGCCUCUGUUUUGGUUUGCAAUUCCGCUAUUGAUGCUCUGCAAUUUUCAUUCAUCGCUCUGUUCUGGGAUUUUUCAGGAUUGGUUCCGCUCUGUUUCUGGACUGCCGACACUGGUUUGAAUAUGUUGAUUUUGAGCUAAAACCCAUUCUGAAAACCCCCAAUUUCAAGCACACAUUUUUAUUGCAAAUUGUCUAAAAAUCGCUCUGUUUUAGGACUGAUGACACUGUCUGGAUGUGUUGAUGUGGAUUAUUAGUCCAGAAAAACCCCAAAUUUCAAGCACGCAUUUAUCGCAGCUUGUCACGAAAAUCGCUCUGUUUUAGGACUGAUGAACACUGUUUGGAUCUGUUUGUGUCGAAUUAAAUCCAAUAUAAACACCUGAUUAGUCCAAAUAUCACUCAAUUUCAUUCAAGCAUGCAUUUAUCACGACUUGUCUUGAAAGUUGAUCUCUUUUAGGACUGAUGAACACUGUUUUGGAUAUGUUUAAGUCGAAUUCAAUCCACUACGAACACCUGAUUAGUCCAAAGAUCACUCAAUUUCGAGGAAAAUUGCUAGUUGUCUCAAAAAGCACUCUGCUUUAGGACUACUGACGCUGUUUUGGAUGUGUUUAUGUCGAAAUUCCACUAUGAAGACCUGAUUAGUCCAUAGAUCACUCGAUUUCUAGCGCCCAUUUCCGCAAAUUGUCUCGAGAUCACUCGGUUUGUCUCGAAAUCGCUCUGUUUGUCUCGAAAUUGCUCUGUUUUAGGAAGCUAAGGCAGUUUGGAUGUGUUUAUGUCUGAAGCAGAUCCACUAAGCACACCUGAUUAGUCCAAAGAUCACUCGGUCUCAAGCACCUUAUCUCGACCCUUUCACGAGUUAUCUUGAAAUUGCUCUGUUUUAGUACUGAUGAACACUAUUAAUGAUUCUGAUUUCUGGCUCCCUUUUUUGGUUCAGCAACUAUGGGAAGCAACGAUGAAGCCAGCUAUGGAUCGUACACCUACGAGGAGCUCCAGCGGGAGCUUUACUGGCCAUCGGAGAAGCUGAGGAUCUCCAUAACCGGAGCCGGAGGGUUCAUCGCAUCGCACAUAGCCAGGCGUCUAAAGAGCGAAGGGCACUACAUCAUCGCUUCGGACUGGAAGAAGAACGAGCACAUGACCGAGGACAUGUUCUGUCACGAAUUCCACCUUGUGGAUCUUAGGGUCAUGGACAAUUGCUUGAAGGUCACGAAUGGUGUAGACCAUGUCUUCAACUUGGCUGCCGAUAUGGGCGGGAUGGGGUUCAUCCAGUCAAACCAUUCCGUCAUCAUGUACAACAAUACCAUGAUCAGCUUCAACAUGCUCGAAGCCUCCCGGAUCAAUGGUGUCAAGAGGUUAGUAGUUUUGUUGAAUCAUGUAACUGUCGUUGUUUCGAAUGUCGAAUUUCGUAUAAUCCUUUUAUUUCUGUAGGUUCUUUUAUGCCUCGAGUGCUUGCAUAUAUCCCGAGUUUAAGCAACUGGAGACAAACGUGAGCUUAAAGGAAGCUGAUGCUUGGCCAGCAGAGGUUGGUUUUCCUCUCAAUCUCGACUCGAGCAAUAAAAGUUUCGAUAAUUUAUCAACAUCAUCUGCUUUUUUGUCUCCUUUAACAGCCACAAGAUGCUUACGGUCUGGAGAAGCUUGCAACAGAGGAGUUGUGCAAGCACUACACCAAGGACUUCGGGAUCGAAUGUCGUGUCGGAAGGUUCCACAACAUCUAUGGUCCUUUCGGAACAUGGAAAGGUAUAUAACACGCUUUGAAAAGACGACAAUAUACCGGUCUAGAAUCUGAUCUUUCGAUAUUCCAAUAGGUGGCAGGGAGAAGGCACCAGCUGCAUUCUGCAGAAAGGCUCUCACGUCUGCCGAAAAGUUUGAAAUGUGGGGAGACGGUCUUCAAACUCGAUCCUUCACCUUCAUCGACGAGUGCGUCGAAGGAGUCCUGAGGCUGACCAAGUCCGACUUUCGCGAGCCAGUCAACAUUGGGAGCGACGAGAUGGUAAGCAUGAACGAAAUGGCCGAGAUUGUUCUGAGCUUUGAAGACAGGAAGCAUCCCAUCCACCACAUUCCUGGCCCGGAAGGUGUUCGUGGUCGAAACUCGGAUAAUACUCUUAUCAAGGAAAAACUCGGUUGGGCUCCGACCAUGAAGCUGAAGGUAUAUUAUCAAGAGUGGUUCCUUUUUUCUCGAAAGUCUCAAAUUUGAAUGCUGAUUGUGUGUUUUUGGCAGGACGGGCUGAGGUUCACUUACUUCUGGAUCAAGGAACAGAUAGAGAAGGAGAAGGCGAAAGGUGUCGACUUGGCGGUUUAUGGUUCGUCGAAAGUGGUAGGAACUCAGGCUCCGGUUCAGCUGGGAUCGCUCCGUGCUGCCGAUGGCAAGGAAUGAUCAAAGGCUCUUUCUGAAUCAGAUGUAAUGUGUUUGAUUAAUGGGUGAACCAUUGUAGCUUUGAAUUAUUAUCUUUCAUAUCUGUUUUAAACCGGUCGAUGGUAGUGACAUAAUCGGUAUAGAAUCGUGAUUGAACCUUUUCAGAAAAACGAAAUGUGUGUUACUAUGAAGAACAUAGAUACUCGAUUAAUCCUAAUCGAACCAUCAAUGUCGUGAGGUUCGAGUUGCUCAAUGAUGGGUUGGUUCUUGAUUCACCCGAGUCAAACGGUCUAACUCGAAAUUCGUAACCUUAAAUAAGAUCAACUGAAAAAGGAGACGUAAGCCCACUUGGUAAUGUUUUGCUCCUUUCCAAAGUUUGGAUGGUCCAAUGGUAUGGAAUGUGCCUUUGCAGAGAUUCCUUUCCAAAAUUCAGAUUUUGUUUUUGUUUUUCCGAAUCGAAUCAAGAUCGAACCGAUAAAAUUUCGAGUCUUCAUAGCAAAAUGCAAUAGAGGAUAAUAAACUUGAAAUAACUAAAUGGUCCCAGGACUGAAUUGGAGACGAUCAGUUUGUUAUGCUGACAUGAUAAUCAACUACAGGCCUAUACCGUGACACCUAUUUUAUUAAAAUUAAUGAGACCAGGGUCCAAGUAGACUAUUCUAUGGUAUUAGUUUCACUUCCCGAUGAACUGUCGUCAUAAUUUGAAAUGAAGACCUUCGAUGUGUAAGAUUGACGUAAUAACUGACUACACUACGACACCGACUUGGUGUACAUAUCAUCUGUAACCACAUUUUUUGUUUAUAUACCAAAAACAAAAUUAUUCAAAUCAAACCAUUUGGAUAGAUUUCGACUGAGCAAACGAAUCGUCAACAUCAUACAACGAGUUAACAUACCUUCGCCCGUCCCCGUCAUACGGGGACUGCUCCUCGCUCACCGGCGACAUCAUUGGAUGCUCGUACCUCCUUUCCGGCCCCUUCGAAUUAGACACGUAGCUUCGAUCUUUUAAGUAGUUCUCGUAACUUCUCGAAGCAUAGUUCUCGAAUGGGGAACCGGGCUUCGAAUUCCCUGCCGUCAUCGCGCCAUCCACGUCAUUGCACAGAGCGAACGCCUCCUCUCCGUGGGCCGCGUAAUCUCCUACGUAUAGCUUGUCCUCCGGCAUCCUCAACGGAACAAUGAGCCCCACCAACCAACAUAUUAGAGUGGUGACGACGACAUUUAAGACAGUAUGAACCCUAUUCCCGCCAGCUGGAUGCCUAGCUGCCGGAACCCUGCUGAUGAGCGGUUGUUUUGUAAGGCAUAAGCCAGACCAAUAUACCUAUUUUUCCGAAAAAAAUAUCACGAAAUGCCAUGUCAACUCCAUCCAUUUACUGUAUUUUUUGAAAAUGCCACAUAAGCUCUAUCAUCCUCGUCACAAACAGUUUAAAUAUUUAUUUACGCACCUUUCCCAUUCGGGGACCAUGAAGAAGAGGCGGCAGAGCUUCGGAACGGCGAAUAUUCCGGUGAGGAUCCCACCAAGACUUCCGGCGAUGGCGUGGGUGUGGAAGAUCGCCAUGGGGUCGUCGGCGUGGGUCAGAAAAUGGAGGCGUUUGUGGAGGACCAUCAUCGUGUACCACGGGACCGUACCGGAGAUUACUCCCAUUAUCAUUGCCGCCCAGCCUUGCACGACUCCAGCCGCCGGAGUAAUACAGACGAGGCCGGCGAUCAUCCCUUGGACCGCGCCGAUGACAGAAGGCUUACCGAAGAAUAUGGAGUCGAGGAGGAUCCACAUCAGCAAGCUAACGGAGGUGCACACGUGGGUGUUGAGGAUGGCAAGGGAAGCGUCUAUGCUGGCGGCGAAUGGUCCGCCGCCGUUGAACCCGCUCCACCCCAUCCAUAAUAGUCCGGCACCGGCCAGCGUCAGGAUGACGUUGUUCGGCGGGAACUUUUCUCUGUCUCUGUCUAACCUUGGGCCCACCUGUAAAUUAAACACAAUUCGCCGGCCGGUCAUGUCAUAUAGUUAACAUAAUAUAAUAUAAUCAUGGUAGAAAAUCGUAAAAAUAUAAAUUUAAUUAAUGGUAAACCAGAUUCGAUUUACCCGAGUCUCAUCUUAAUCCGAUCGGACUAGGAAAUUCGGACAGUUGCAAUUAUAGCGAACUAUAAUUCAGUUGAUCCUUAACCCGAUCAACUCAUUAACCUAAUUGAACCGUGUCCCAUGACCCAUAACCCAAUUAAUCCAAUUCACAAUCCACCUAAUUGGUGUGUUUGACAACUUAAAAUUCAUAUAAAAAUUACGAUUAAAUUUUUUGAACCGGUCGAACCGGUAUGUGAUAUUUAAUCGAACCAUAGGAGAAUGUCUAAUUUGUAGCCUAAUUAUGAGGAGUGAUUAUGAGCUCUUUUACCCAAAACGACGCCGUGAUGCCGGCGACGCCGGCGGAGACGUGAAUGACAUAGCCGCCGGAGAAAUCGAUGAUCCCCAACUUGGCGAGCCAGCCGUCGGGACACCAAACGCUGAAGGCUCCGACGGUGUAGGAAAACGUCAACCAAAGAGGGACGAACAUCACCCACGCCGUGAAGUUCAUCCUUCCGAGCAAGCAGCCGGCCACCAAUAUCAACGUUAUACAUGCAAACACUCCCUGCAUGCAGUAGAUAGUGUUACAAUAUUAUUACACGCAGUAGUUGAGUUAUCUAUCGGUCUCAAAACUUUCAAAUAUUUUUAAAAGGUCAAUCUAAAUUAAAAUACGCCCGUUAACAAUAUGAACUAGCAAAAAAUGAAAAAGCACCUCCCUAAAAGAAUGAAAAUAUCAAUCUUUCAACCUCUCACAUGAAUUUUAUUGUCGUCAAUUAUCUCGAUUCAAAAAAAUUGACUAUUAAAACUAAGUAUGGUACGAAAAACGAAAGAUAAAACUUUCAAAUGCUACGUAGAGGUUCUGAACUUUAAAAUAUGAUGGAUUAAAAAGCCCCCGGUUGCAAUUUAUUUGGAAUGGUACGUAAUAUUUGGAACUGGGAGUGGUUAGAGGGAGUUUCGACUCACCAUAGUAUCGAUUCAAACCAUUAAUUUUAUGUGUAUAUUUAGAAUUUUUUUGAGUUCGAUUAAGGGGAAUUUUUAGUCAGACUCAAUUUUUGGUCGUGUCGAAACUAUAUGAAGUUAGAAAGAAUCCCGACUACUUUAUUUUCUAAUCUCGAAUAAUAACUAGUUACUAAUAGAAUGUAGUCGGCAAAUAUUCACGAAUAUUCACUAAUUUUAUAUUCGUGAAUAUUUGAGAGUUUGUUCGAGUCUACUGUACGGGUAGAGUGAGUUUCACUCACCUGGAAGAACACCAUAGUAGCCGUGGGGAAGUUCCCCAAGAAGGCCUUCUGAAGCAAGAACUCAGCAUCCAACGAAACGGCAGGGUACCCCCAAAACGGCAGCAUCUUGUCGCCAAACGACAUCCUGUACCCCCACCCGACCCAACACACCAUGACCGAUGCAAAGGCGUAGAGGGCCAUGAAGGCCGAGUUCACCGCCCAUUUCUUCUUCACCAAGCUACCGUACAGGAUCACCAGCCCCGGGAUCGACUGGAGCCCCACGAACGCUGCCGCGGCCAGCUGCCACGAGUUGUCCCCCUUGCUCAGCCAUUCUGGAUUCGCCUCGUCGGUCCCCUUGCUCAGCCAUUCUGGAUUCGCCUCGUCGGGGAUCAGGUUCGGUGGGAGCAACGAAGUCGUGUCCAUGGUUAUUUUUCGUUCUUUGUGUUGGUCCAGAAAAUUGUGACGAGUGAAAAAAAAAGAGGGGUUUAUAAAGUUGUAAAUAGACGGCUAAGGGCGGCUAAAGGGAUGGGUUUGUUUGUUUUUUGGUUUUGAGGGUGAUAGAUUUUGAAUGGUUCCUGAUAUGGGAUGGAUUAACAAAAGUGUUUUGGUGGAUUGGGUUGGACUCGUCAAUGAAUCAAACCGUUUUUGAGUAGUUUAGUGUUUAAAUCGAGAAAAAAAUUCGUUCAUGAUUCGACUCAAUUUUAAGCUAACCAAACCAUACCGCCACUACCAACAAAACAAACUUCAUAUCCCGCCGCAGGCCGCCCUCGAACAACAUCAUCUACAAAACAUCAUCAAAUCGUCGAGAAAAGUCCACACCAACACCGGAACAACAUCAAAUCCAUAUUCACACCAACACCAGAACAACAUCAACCCAUAUCCACAUUAACAUCGGAACAACAUCGAACCCAUACCCACAUCAACACUGAAACAUUGUCAAACCGAGGUCGACAUCAAGAACCGAACAUCCUCAGAUUCCCAUCCACAUCAACACCAGCACAUCCUCAAACCAACAUCCACAUCUAUAACCGAACAUUUUCAAAUUCAUAUUCACAUCGAUGCCAACCCAUCCUUAAACCCAAAUCCACAUCUAGAACCGAACAUCCCCAUAUUUACAUUCACAUCGACACCAGCACAUCCUCAAACCCAUAUCAAUAUUAACAUCAACAUCACAAACAUACAUAAACCCGGACCAGAUCCAAGUUCGAAACCCAAAGAAACACAAGACGUCAAGAAGCCACUAAAACCCCGAUGAAAAAACCCGAAAAGGAAACAACAAAGAAAUAGAAAAACGAAAAAUGAAUAAAAAACGAAAAGAAUUGAAAAUUGAGUCUGCGGCCGGCAGCCAAGACAAUAAAGCUUAAAGGAUGUUCUAAAAAGAGGUCGAAAAUUUAAGGAAGAGAGAGGUCAGAAAUGUACACAAAUUACUGUUGUCGAGCAUGUUCUUCACCAUCACCAUCUGCCUCGCGAUCUCCUCGUCAAGAUCCGAUGACUUCAGACCACUCACCUUCUUUCAGGAGCUUGAUGGCUUGACGCUCAAGCCUCUUCACAUCAACCCAACUAAAAAUAAUCUCAGAUAUACAAUUGAUGACUUCCUCAGCUCGACGAACCAGAUCAAGGAAAACUCUGUUGUUCCUCCCCGACCAAAUCGUCCACGAAAUUGCUUGAGGAAGAGCAAUAGCGAAGGAUUUGAACUUCAAGAGAAAUACUUCCAGCAUCUCAUCAAAUUGAUCAUAUUGGCUGGCUGGAAAAAAGUGCAACCCAGGGAGAAUUUGCAGUAGAAGAUAUCAAGUGACUUAAACAUUCUCCUCUGCCUCCUCUCAUCUGAAGGACAGCCAGAGUUGUGACUUUUCCCACGCAGCAUAUCCAAGUGAAGCAGAAGAUUUUUGACUGUACCGUCGAGAGCCAAAUCGAGCUCACCGGGAAAGCAUCAAGGCCUCUGAAACGAGGAGAGGCAAUGUGCGGGUACAUGGAAUGAACCGAGAACAAAUUAGACUACUCGAGCGGCCAUCUGACAAUCUCGGAGUCCUGAGAGAAAGUGUCGGGAGGAAGAGAAUCGAGCAGAGUACGAAGGUCGAUAAGCUCUUUUGCCGCGAACACCAUGGAAUUUAUUGGAAUCCAAGUUACCAUUCCAAAGAAAAGCUCAAUCUUGUUGAUGAUGCGGCAAAGGAAAGCUUCAAAGCACAUGCUUAACCCGCACUAACCUGCCUCCGAAAGAAAGAAGCCGAAUGAAGUUAAGGUUUUGAUUCUUAUUGGUAGUGGGGAUGACGACGCUCUCCAUUAUACAAAUUUUAGUUGGAUUUUUAGCUGUGUUCCCAUCAUAUAUGUAGAAAAUAAGUAGAUUUAAAAAUUUUAAUAUUAACAUAAUACAAAGUAAAAUUGAUUUUUAAUUUCAUUUGGUCAUUAUUUAUUGGAUUAUCAUAAUGAAACUUAAUUUUUUAUUCAUUUCCAACAUGCAUGUGAAAUAUUAGCCGAUUUGAAAAUUUUAAAAUUUUAUUAUGAAAAUUGUGAAUUUCCCUUAGUAUAACACACAUAAACUGACAAUUUUGAUAUAAAAAUUGAAAAUUUUCAAAUUGAUUUAAUAUUUGACAUACAUGUUGAGAAUGAUUAAAAGUUAGGGUUGCAUCAUGUUAAACACUUCAAAUAAUAGCCCAAUGAAAUUAAACACAUUUUUAAAGGAUUUUGAUUAUUGUUGUCAAUGGAAAUGUAUAUAGAGCUAUCAUUACAGAUCAAGUUACCAAGUUAACCAUUUUAAUUGGUAUCAUUUGGUUAAUUUGGUUUGGUUAGAGUGAGUAAAUAAUUUGGUUUAAAUGGUCAAUUUUAUUGGUUAAUUUGAUUAUACUGGUUUAAAACGGUCAAUACACCCGCUAACCAUUCUAACCAUCGAUCGAACAUAUAUAUACACACGCCAUAUAUAUAAUUCACUAUCACGUAAAAAUCCACUACUAAAUUGCAAUAUCAUAUAAUAACCCAAAAUCCCAAACAAAACCCACUAAUUUUGUUAGUUUUUUAGGUGAGAAGAACAAAAUAAUUAUAUCAACAUAGUGAUUAACCACAUUACAUGUUAUUAGUAUAUAUUAAUGAAUAAUACAAAAUCAUUAAAUCAAUCUGGGAUAUAUUUUCCUAACAACUCCAGUGGUUGGUUUUUGUCGUAAGGUCGAAUUACGAUUCGAGAACUAGGGACGGGGAUCAGGUCGCCAAGACUUCAUCUAUCAGAGCGAAAGCAAAAGACUAUAAUGAUAAAUCGAGUCUAAUUAGGUUUGUUGUUCAGUUAAACAACUUUUUUUCUCUUGAAGGUAACAUAUCUUAUUACACUGUUUAAUUAUACGAGUAAAAUGUAAUGAAUGUGAUAUAUGGUUGAUUUUCGGUGCAUAGAGGCAUAUCUCUUAUUUAUAUGACGAAGAAUUGUAGUGCUGAUGCAGCUUUAAUAAUUACAUUAUGACCAAAUAAAUAAAAAAUUACAUCUUAUGUGAAUAGGAAAUUUCUACCUUUAUUAUGUAAUAAUAAUUCGGUUUCUAUUAUUUUCAAAAAAAUAUCGAUUUUUAUUAUUAUGUUAUUCAUAUGGAGGUUGAAUCGGUGCACUGUAGGUGUCAUUACCGUUCUCAACACAUCCCUUUGUCCUUACGUUCGAAUUACUAUAGCGAUCUUAGGGUUUCGCCAACCCCCGGAGAUAAGGGGCAGGAGCUGGUGCAAUUUGUUCUUUCUUGUCGUCAUCUUUUUUCUCCUUUUUCUCUUCGUCAUCCUUACUGUUAUCAUCGUCUUCCUUUUUUUUGUCCUUUUUAUCUUCAUCUUUUUUAUCUUUUUCAUCCUUUUCUGUUUCAUCGUCUCCCUUUUUCUUAUCCUUUUUCUCUUUUUUAUCUUCUUCAUCCUUCUCUUUCUCAUCAUCUCCCUUUUUCUUGUCCUUUUUAUCUUUUUUCUCUUUUUUAUCUUCAUCGUUCUCUUCAUCGUCGUCUUCUUUUUUCUUAUCCUUCUUAUCCUUUUUUUCUUCAUCCUUCUCUUCAUCGCCGUCUCCCUUUUUUUUGUUCUUCUUAUCCUUUUUCUCCUUUUUAUCUUCAUCUUUCUCUUCAUCAUCAUCUUCCUUUUCUUUAUCCUUCUUUUCCUUUUUUUCCUUUUUAUUUUCGUCAUCCUUCAUUUCAUCUUCGUCUUUCUUUUUUUUGUCCUUUUUAUCCUUUUUAUCUUUUUUAUCCUUUUUAUCUUCAUCAUCCUUAUCUUCAUCAUCGUCUCCCUUUUUCUUUUUUUCUUUUUUAUCUUCGUCAUCUUUCUCUUCAUCAUCGUUCUUUUUUUUCUUGUCCUUCUUGUCGUCCUUAUCAUCAUCUUUCUUCUCUUCUUUCUCUUUGUUAUCCUUCUUUUCUUUUUCUUUUUCGCUAUCCUUUUCUUCAUCGUCGUCGUCUUGCUUUUUUUUUCCUUCUACUUUAGGCAAUUUUGUUUUUUCCUUAUCCUUCUCGUCUUCUUUCUCUUCACUCUUAUGUGCUAUCACAGGAGGCAUACCCGUUGUCGGUGUCAUCACGGGAGGCAUACCCGCCACCGGUGCCAUUGCGGGAGGCUUGCCUGCCAAUGUUGCCGACAAAGAAUCAUCAACCCUUGCGUCAACACCUACAUCCUCGAUCAACGCACACGAAAAAAACACAGCGAAAGUAAGUACAGUCACAACUUUUAGGGUCUCCACCAUUGUAGAAAAAACUGUAGUUAUUUGCAAAAUCCCUUGUUGAAUGUUUGAUGGUUUACAGGAUGAUGGGAAAUUGGAUUUAAAUAAGGUAAAUUUUUAUUUAUUUACCUAUUUUUAGUAUUACAUGUUUGGUGGAGAAAAUUUUCGAUAUUCAAUUAAUUAAGUCCUCAUUAGCAAACUUUGAAUUUGAGGGAUUCAAUCAUGGCCUUAUUUAGCAAUUUAUCCAAAAUAAUCGGAGGGUGGUAAAGCAAAUUACACCAAUUAGUAAUCAAUUAAAAUUUAAAACACAAUCUUAAGUAAUUGACUAAUUGACAUAGCUAAUAUACUAAUUGAUUAUUGCUAUUGAGGGACUAAUGGAUUUUCCAUUUAAUAAAUGGAUAAUUUUUUUUUUAUAUAAAUGAAAAUUUUAUUAAAAGGAACCAACGAUUUUAACGAGAAAGAAUAAAAUAAGAGUGUAAAUCUCAAAAUUAAAAUUAUUGUCUACACAAGCCCAGAUUCAAAUGAAUUGACAGCUGCAGCUGAAAUCAACGACGAGCCGAGCACAAAGAAGAGUCAACUCUAAAAAAAAACAAAAAAAACAUCAAGCCAUCCGACUAAAAUAGAAGUAAGAUAUCCGUCUAUCCGAAACAAAAACAAGAGAGGCAAAAAGAACAAAACCAACAACGUGAUUGCGCGAAUGAAAUUGCAAGUGAUACAUUAUUUAGAGUCAACUAUUUUUAUUGAGAAAAAGUAAAAAACUUAUAAAUUUUAGGAUAUUUUCUUUGGCAGUCGAGCUCUAAUUUGGCUUGUUAGGGGUAGUUAACGAGUCAGACUCGAAUAUACUCGAAUUCGUGACAAGCUCAAAUUUUCUAGCUCGAAUUCGAGCUAAAACUCAACUUAUCAAUAGUCUCACGAAUUCGACCUCUGAUAUUAUUUCGUAAAAUUAAACCACAUCACACCACACAAAAGGAAACAAAAGAGGAAAAAGAAUUCAGAUUGAUCCCAUGCCACGUGGCAUGGCUCGCUGGUCACAGUUACAGUCCUGCGAGUCUCGUUAUCUCAUCACGAGACUCGCUCCGGUGCAGAGACCUCAACCGUGACAUUGAUGUAAUUCAUCCCGGUGUACACACCAUCCUCCUUAAUAUCGAUAUCCUCCCGCUCGGUACCUUCAUCGAGAAGAUCGUACCGAGUGUAGUUGAACGGAACCUCGCACGUAAUAGAAGUCGCGAACAGCCUCACCGUCACCUUCUUCAUGGGUUCCAACGCCACCCUGUGCGGCCAGUACGCCCUGGCCCUCUUCGUCGUGGUUUCUCCCCAGGCGUACGAGGACUCAAACGGAUUCGUCAUCUGAAUCGCGGUCGAGUCCGCGAUACUCGGGAUCUCCUUGGGCUGGAUCCUGACCGUAAGGCGCCCGAGUUUUAGAGAAGGGAUGAUGACUCCCCAAGUGCUGCUCUUGACGUCCAUGUACGGGAUCUUCACGUCUAGGGUUCGUGGUUUGUCGGUGUGAUUGCUCACGACCAGACCCGAGUUGAGUACCACGUUUGUGAUUUUGUUGUAGACCCAGCCGUCGUUGAGGUAGAAGUUGAUGUCGAGUAUCUUCCUCGAAAUGACCAACUCGGUUAGUACAAGUCGGGCGGGUUGGGUGAUUUGGUAUUCGGUUGCGGUCAGCCCGUUGGUCAGACGGUCGGUAGUGUAUCUCACGCACACCUUGCCGUUCCCGUGGUUGCGAAUCGAGAUUGUGUUUUCGUUCACCUGAGUAAUUAGACCAAUAAUUUAAAUAAGAUGUAUGUAAAUAGUAGGAAUAAUCUCAUGAUAUCUGUAACAAAAUUUGACUUUUUGUGACCAAAUUAUAUGCUGUCACAGAAAUUAAAAAGGCAACAGAUUUAAUUAGCGACGGGUAAGGAGUAUGUAAAAUAGAAAUAAUCUCAUGAGAUAUUGAGAUGAUGUGGGGAAAGUAUAGCAGAAUAUCUAAAUCUAGCCUGAGUUAAUUCGAGUGGAUUGUCAAAUCUAGUUUAAAUUAUUUUAUAAUAAUUAUGUAGCUAAUAAUUUUGGUAUUUUGAUAAUUUUAGUUCGUUGAUUAAUUUUUUGUUAAAUCUUUAACGAUGUUAGUAACGAAGUAGAUGGAGCUGACACUUCAUUUGCUUGACCGGUCAAAUGAAUGUCAUUUCAACGGCUACAUAAGCAUUUCAAUUAUAAAACACAAUUAAUUAAAUAAAAAUUUUGAAUAUUCCAAAAACUAAAAUUAAUAAUAAAACCUUAAAACUUUUGUAUUUAUUAUUAUAAUUUGUUUACUUUCUUAAUUAGAGUUUUAAAUUAAUUAAAAGAGAUGUUGACAUGGCUACGUACAUUUGAUAUGUCAGCUGAGACAUCACUUUGAUGGUUUUAGUUUCGGUUAAUUUCGAUCAAAAGUUAAGCGAAAUUCCGUUAAAAAGCAAAUUUAAAAUUUUGAAUAGUUCAGUUUAGGUUUGGUUAUUCGUUUAAAAUUUGGGCUAGAUUUGGACAGUUGGCAAAAAAAACUUAGUAAGUUAUAAAUAAUUCACCUUAGUAGCAGAAAACAUAGAAUAUGGAGUAGGUGUGGCUGAUGUAUCAUCGGCUCGCAUCUCAUCACUUUGAGGAUCAACCCUCCAAAAAGCCCCAACCGACACGUUCUUAAUCCGAAAAGUCCCGUCCAGCAAGUCGACAAUCUCGUUGACGAUCGAUUCAUCGCGUUCAUUCCCAAUCUCGAACCGCAGAGCAGCACCACUGCUCUGCUUCAGAAGCCCCAGGUAGAGCCCGUUGUCGCCUUUAAAAGUCAAGUGCCUGGGAAGUGAGAAGAGCGUGUCCCAGUCGAUGACUUGCAAAAUAUUCUCCGAUUUGGGCAUCAGCGGUUCCGACGAGAUCACGUGGAUCCACGACCGGUACAUGCUGUUAGGGCCCGCGUCCAGCCACUGCAUGUAGUAUCCCGACUUGAUGUGGAGCAGACGGAUGGUUCCGUCGGUUAAUAACUCGGGUUGGAACAGGGUCGAAUACCAGACCGUCUGGUUCUCCUCCGGCCCGUCCAUGGAGGCGGUGAUCAACCGACCGUUGCUGCUGUUGUCGAUCCGGAGGUACUUGUUGUUGUAGCAGCAGCGGAUGUGGACCAUGGACGGGUCGGAUGUGGACUCCACGACCUCGAAUUUUGCGAGCGAGCUCGAGAGCUGCUCGGAUUUAGCGGUCAGGAUCUGCUUAUAGCCGUGGCCUCCAUCCGACUGGUACUUGACGUACUUCUUGGCUGUCUUGGCGUACAAGGCAAUGAACCUCGGCAACUUUGGCGGCGGCGCCAUUUCUUUCUUGUAAGCUUGGUUUGGUUGUGUUGUGUGUUUAUGAUUAUUGAGAAUUUUCAAUCUAAUUUAUAGACUCAUUGGGUACUAUGUCCACAUCAUGUUGUAGUCGUCUGUUGACUUUCUAAUUAACAACGAUUAACCUGUCCCAAAUUAUCCCGUAAAUUCGGAAUAGGUUAACUAAUUGAAAAUGAUGUAGAGUUAUUAUGUUUUGUCCUUUACUGUUACGAAGUGGUCCUGAUAAUAAAUCAAUUUUUUUGUGAUUUUUGCAUGUAGGCAUUGCCAGUUCAAAUAUUAUUAAAAUGUAUAAUUUAAUUUGGGUUAAUUACUAAUCUAAAACGGUUAGCUAACAACCCAAACCGAACAGAAUUAAAAAAUUACCAUAAACCCAAUUGGCCAAUCAAGUUCAACGUAAUCUAAUCCUAAUCUUUUCUUUGAAAGAAUGAAUUUAAUUAAAUAAAAUGUAAACCCUAAUUUUCGGUACUAUCAUAAGUUUUCGACAUAGUGGACAUGGAUCGGAUCAUGGUCGUCUCCAAGACGAACGACUCGAAUCGUCCUUAGCGAAUCUUGAGCCGCCAUGUGGACCGUGAGGUUUGGGUCACGAUCGGUCCACUUGGGUCGGACCCAUCAAGGUUUGGUAUAAACAACUUGACUUGGCACCAUCUUUGGGAAGCUGGCUGGAAGUAGAUGAUUGAAGGAAUAUUCUUUGGAGUAUUAACAACCACUCUUAAUUUUUCUAAUCCCUAUAAUUAUAAUUAAUGACCUUGGUUCCCAUUGGUCUUAAAAAAAUUUAUGUUAAGUCUAAAUUAUUUAGCAAUUUUUAAUUACCACAUCACCGACUUUAACAAUUAACUCUUUCAAUAAUUUCUAAUUACGUUUAUAAAAAAUAAAAAAUUUUAAUCACUUAAAUCCCUUAAAUAUUUUAGCAAUUUUUUACAUUCAAAAAAAUAUUUCAAUAUGGUUAUGUAUCAUGGCUAACAUAAAAGUUUUCUCUUCGAAAGUUGAUCCAUAAUCUAUGUGGCAUUGCUAAUGGAAUUGUUAAUUAUCAAUCACCUUUACAUCCCCAACAAUUACUAAUAGAGGUAUCACAUCACCCUCCGCAUCACUUAGCAAUCGCUAAAAAACUAGGGAUAUACAUGCUUUAAGGGUCGUUUGGAAAAUGUGAUUUAUAUGAGCGAUUUUAAAGAAUAUAUACAUUAUCCUCUGUAUUUGUUUUUCUUCUGGCAUAUAUAUUCUCAAAAACUCCAAAAUUCCAAAAAAUAAAUUUUAAUAGAUUUUAAUAANNNNNNNNNNNUAAUAGAUUUUAAUAAAUUUGUAUUCUAAAUCACAUGUACCAAACAAGGCCUAAUUGUAUUCUAAGAAUGAUUAGUAAAUGACCGUAGCCAUAGUAGUCUUUAUUCAAAAAAAAAAUUAUAUAAAUUGAUGAAUAAGUCUUCCACAACAACUACUCUCUUAAUUUUUUAAUAUAUAACAAUAUUGAUUAAUUAAAGACCUUGAACCCUAUCAGUCUCCACGACAAAUUAUUAUAAUUAAUGACCUUUAGCCUAUCGGUAAGGUUGCCUCCCCUUUUGUUUCAGAAUUUGAUCUUUAAAGGGAAAAUCUUGGAUUUUUAGUUUUGAAUUUUCAAUUUUGAAUUUUGAAUUUUUACGGUUAGUGUUUAGAGAAUUGGAUUAUUGAUUUUGAAUUUUAGAUUUUGGGUUUUGAUUUUAGAUUUUGAUUUUUUUCUGAAAAUAACAAAAUUGCUCAUCACGAUUUUAGUUUGCCGCGGGAAAUAAAUCUGUUAGUUCCCGCGGAUCCGCAGUCAACAGGGAAAGCCUUCUUAUAAAAAGCCAACAAAGAUGUUAUAAGGUUUGUUUGGCUAGGUGAUUUGUUAGUGAGUUGAAGAAGAUAUAUUUGCAAAAAAUUAAAUUCGUCGAAAGGAUUAUUUCCAAGAGAUUUAAGGGUGGUAAAAUUCGAUGCUCAAAUGGGUUUUGACCAAAAUUUUAUUUUACCACAAAACCCGUGGUUCCCAAACGACCCCUAACCGAACCUAUAUUCUAUAAUUGGUUUCCUAAUUUUGAUAACCAAACAAGUACUCCUUACCUCUUCCUCUUCCUCAUGUCUCAACGUUACAGCCAUACACUAGUUUACAAAAUUACAUUCGGAAAAUGAUAAUAAAAUACAAGAAAUCCCACAAACGUAUGAACUUCAAAAUUUGUUGAUAAGAGUCUUUCCUUAACAAAACUCCCACAAAAAAUUAUGCACUAUGAAAAUGACCCUGAAAUGGUACCUUAAUUUUCGACCGAGUUACGCAGUGGUCAUUGAAUUUUGAAAUCGGCUAAACCGGUACGAUAACAUUUUUACUCUAUUGAAUUUUACUAAAUAAAACGUUGGCAUACACCGAAAUACAUUCUUCAACAAAGUGAAGAAACAAAAAAAUUAAGAAACACCUCCGUAAAAGAACAAAAAUAUCAUUUGUCUUUCAACCUCCUACAUUAAUUUUGUUGUCCCUGAUAUGAAGGAUUUGCUAUUGGAACUGAACAUGGUACGAAAGGACGAAAGAGAAGAUAAAAAAAGAAAACUAAAAAAUUAGGAAGGCUCUUUAAAAAGAAAAUCCUACAACAACGAUUACAAUUAUCUUUGGAGACCUUAUUCACUGAAAAAACUACUCUACAACACUAAAAAUAAUCUCAUUGAUGACGCUACUCAAUCUCAAGCAAAAAAACAAUCCUAACAUUUCAUUCACUACAUAUGGACCAAAUAGUGAAAUGAAUUAGGCAUUUUCACGAAGAAUUUGCUUGGGUGGUGAAGAUUGAAUCUUGGCAAAGAACCAACCAAGGUAUUAACACAAAGUCACUAUACCAAUCUAGUCAAUUUCAAAGUUUGGUGACUACUGCCUAAUCUGAGUUCGGAUUUUCGGCAAAUAAAAAUAGUUUAUUUAUUGGUGUCAAGGAAAAAUCCUGAUCGACUAAUAUAAAUUUCAGUUCUAACAAAUAGUNNNNUAUUCAAUUUUGGAUUUUAAAUUUUAAAUUUUUGAAUUUUUAGAUUUAGGGUUUAGAGUAUUGGAUUUUUAGUUUUGAAUUUUAGAAUUUAAAUUUCGAUUUUUAAGUUUAGAGUUUAAAGUAUUAAAUUUUAAAUUUAUUCUUAAAAUAACAAAAUUACCCUUUGAAAUUUAUUUACCGGCGGCAAAUAAUAUGAUUAUUUGCCACCUAUCAGUACUCGCUUAACCUUACUCAAAAUUUUAUGUAUUUAACCCUCAAUUAAAUUGCUAAAUACCACAAACAAACAAAAAAUCUCACCACCGUUAUAAAUUCCAUCAAUCCUUAAUUCUCAACAACAACAACAACAACAACAAAAUAAAAACACAAGACUCUUUCAACAUCCAACAAACUCUUUAUGAAGUUCAUUUUCGCAUCGCCGGUGAUAGCAUUAUUAGCGACAGUACUGCUGAUACUAAUACUUUCAGCGACUGCCGCUACACAUAUCAAUAGCGACGGUACAAACAACACCGACGGAAGUUCUCUUGCGGUCGUUAAUGAUUAUGAUCCGUUGGACAAUUCUUUUCAGAUGACUGCAACGACCCGUGAUUUCCAAGCCUAUCUGAAAAGUUGGAAGGUGCCGGAAAAUCUCGCUUGCUACAAUUGGCUUAAGGACGAGACGCUGGAAUGGGGUCGCAGGUUCGGUUGGGUUUCACUCUGUCUACCCCAUGGUCACGACCCUGUAAAAAUCUGUGGCCGGUGUGUUCGGGUAAGGAUUCUUUUAUUUAUAACAGCCUGCGAUUUAUGUGAAGAAUCGUUACAUUUUAGUAAUUCGAAUUUCAUAUUUUAAAACAAUCCAGUUUAAUUUUAAUUUAAUCUGCAAGCCGAUAACAAAACAUUUACAAGUAAAGGGAUCCAUAUACUAUUGUUCAACCAAAUUUGUUGAUGAAUACCAUAAAACCUAUAUAAACCUUCACAAAAACUCGAGUUUUUUGGAUACAACAGUGUUUAACAUGGUACGAGAGCCUGAAAAAAUCGAGAUAGAUUUCCGUUUUGAAUCCCGAUAGCCCACAUUCCGUACACAUCACUUACUGUGUGAAGGUGUGCAAACCUCAGCUCCUCUCCGAGCUUCUGUUUGAGGGGGGCGUAUUAAUGAAUACUAUAAAACUUAUCUGAACCCUCUCCUAACAACUCGGAUUAUUUGGAUACAACAUUUCUUAAGAGAAUUAACCGCUCCACCAUCAAGCUUUUAUUAAACCAUCCAUUCGAUUAGUUAACUUUCCGCUUUAAGAUGCACGGACCAUACUGCAUGCCUAGCCAUGACGGAUUUAGGGGAGCCUCUUUCCGAAUUUAACCCAUUCCAUCUCGAAGUCCCGAGCUCCGAUGAUAUAUAAUUUUCUAUAUAGUUUAACAUGAUUGAUGCGGCCUAGCUCAAUUUGGAUCUUAUACAAUCUGGUUUAGUACCAUUCGAAUUUGUCGUACCAUAUAAGAUUUGUUUUGCUAUACUGACUCCCGAACCUUGACAUUAUUGUAUGCAGAUACAGAAGUUAAAUAUGGAUUACAUAACAGCCCGAGUCGUCGACGAAUGCUCGACACAAGGCGGCGGAAUUGAGUUGGACACCUAUUCUGUGUUUUUUCCUAUCGAGAGAACCCAGGCUGGAAGAGCUUCUGGUGAGGUUGCUGUGGAGUUCCACUUCGUAAGUUGCUACCAGUGAGAAAAGCUACUAGCCAAAGACUAUAUGGAUGAAUUAUGAAAUAUGUAACUUUUCCUUCCCUCUUGGAAUAAAAUUUUAUGUUUAAGCCAUUAAAAGUUAAAAUAUACCGAACGGCAUAUACGCAAACGAAUAUACUAAAGAAUUUAGAAAUAUAAAAGAAAUUAUAUGUUAUCGAAAUUCUAAACCUAAAUAUCAAAUGGGCUUGAAGACCCGAGUUUGGUGGCAUACGGUGCGUAUAAGAAAAACAACACAAGUCUUAGCUAAUAACAAUGAACCAUUUGAUCUACUUUGUUCGUAUACUCAGCUACACUUUCCAAUCCCACAAAAUCAGUGGAAUGGAAGGCACCAGAAAGAAAAUGAACAAAACUUUAAAAUAGAAUUUUUAUUUCUUUUUCUGAGCCUGUCAUUUUGAUGAAAUCGGUGGUUUCAUUAACGAGAUCAAAAACCCACAUUGAGCCCAAAAUCAAUCUGAUUUUACGUGUCAUAUAUGACGUUAGAGAACAUGGAAUUAGGUUUAUAAUCACCAUAUUGGUGUAUUGAUGACAUUUAGAAUGGUGAAUCAAGAUUCGAUUUUUGUAAUAAUGAGAAAUAUUUGGAUAGGUAGGGUUAGAAGUGUUACUGCGGCAAAAGUCGUAGCCAUUUAUCACUUAUUAGCCAUGGCGAUAUACUUGUCGUAGCAAAGUGGUUGGCAAAACAGAACUUUUUGUAGUAACAUGCAUGCAUGUAUAAAAGUAAGGUAGUUUGAAAAUUUUCGAUAUUAACAUAACAUUAAGUAAAAUUGAGUUUUAACUUCAUUUGAUCAUUAUUUAUAGGGGUUAUCAUGAUGAAACUUAAUUUUUUUGUCAUUUUCAUCAUGCAUGUCAAAUAUUAGUCGAUUUAAAAAAUUUGAAAUGUUCUUGUGAAAAUGGUCAAUUUUCCUUAGUAUAACAUACGGAAAUCGGUCAAUUUUUAUAUGAAAAUUGAAAAUUUUCAAAUUGGAUAAUAUUUCACAUGCAUGCAUGUUGGGAAUGAUUAAAAAUUGAAAUUUCACUAUGUUAAGCCCAUCAAAUAAUAGUUAAAUGAAGUUAAAAAAAAUACUUUUUAAAUUUUUUUAUUAUUGUUAGUGGGGAUGUAUGGAUUGAGGAUUUGCUGGGAAGAAACGACAUGCGUCAGUUGGGAAGUAACGACGCUCCAAGUAUGAUUCGCUUGUUACAUUUUGGCAGUCACUUAACGGAGAGUUUAGGGUGCUCACAAGAUGUCUUCUUCAUGCAAUUUGUUGGACGGCUUGGCUUGAGAGAAACUUCAAAACAUUUAGGGAUAUUUACUCGUCCGUUAACAGUUGAUAUUCAAGGUUGGCCAAUUAGUUCAUCAAUGGAUUCUUGUUGCUGGUGUUUCUUCAUAACCCAUAUGUAAGUUGUGGCUCGAUAGGGUACUUCAAUUCCACCCACCACAGUAUUGGAGUAACUUCAAUUAAACUUAACUAACCAAUUAGAAAAAUCAAUCAAACCAUUUUUACUAUUAUAUUCUCAUCUCACAACUCCAUAAUAAGUAUAUUCUUAAUUAUAUUCCUAAUAUAUAACAUUAUUGAUAAAAGAAAUAUUAUAUAUAACAUUUAUAUGCAUUUUAUUAAAUAUAAUUCCAUCAAUUAGGGUUUCGAUUGCCGGUUGGUUCGAUAUGACGAUUAUUUUGAGUUUACCAGAGCUAUUAGCAUUGCUUUUAGGAUUAAUUAAUGUAUAAUUAUAAUUAUAUAAAGUGGAGAGGAUGAGAAUGAAGUAGUUAAAGAAAAGUGGAGGAAAAUAUUAUUGAUGGGUCGCCACCACCGCCGCCACAACCACCGCCGCCACGGCCAAUAGCCGUAUGAGCGUGGCUGGGUGACUAUGCCGCAGUAUGUUGACGUAGCUGUCAACCUCACCGGAUUGAAGCGGGAGGAGAUUGGGGCGCUACUGCUGGCGGUCUUCCAAUUGUUGGAGCCGCGAACAGAACGAAACUUGUUCAUGUUUUGUUAAUAAGCAUACUGACAAGGCGAAUUACCCAUUCUAUCCCUGGUUCCUCAAUUUUAUCACCAAACUAGUACUCUUUUCCUCUUCCUCUUACACUAAUUUACAAAAACUACAUUCCAAAAAUGAUUAAAAAAAAACAAGAAAUCUCACAAACGUAUAAACUUAAAACUCUUGCAAAACAAUACAAUCAAUAUUGACGUGACUCUGAAAUGGUACCGUAAUUUUUAAAAUCGACCGAAUCAGUACGAUACAUCUUGCACGCUGUAGUAUUCUAGUAUCGGUCUCAUCCGCGGCUGCCAUUUUCCAAAUUUACAUGCUCGUAACAAUAAAAAUUUAAAAGGGCGUCACGCGACUCGAAUUGAAAUGAAUCCAGCCUAAAUUCUCUCUAUAUCACUUAAUUUGACGUGUAGAUUUGCAACAGUCCGUUCUCUGUGGUGCUGCCUUAGUGCUAGAAAGUCGUGUUUGAGUCCAAGCACCCUCGCUGCUAAUAUCAAUUUCACCUCUAUUUAUGAUAACAUGUCGUGGUUGACAUGGAAAACCAGUCGUAAUAGAUUGUCGCCGAUGCAACAAUACCAAGCUCGGUACACUGUGAUAAGUUACUAUACUAAUCUAGUCAAUUUCAAAAUUAGCGUGACUACUAUGUAACCUAACUCAAAAUUACGGGACCAAUAAUUAAUUUGGAAAAUCAAUAGCAACCCAAGAAUACAAAAUUCUCAAAUGUCAACGCCACUAUAAAUUUCAUCCAUCGUUAACUCUCAACAAAAAUAAAAACAAAUAACUUUCACAUCCAAUAAAUUUCCAUUAAGAAGGGGAAAAGAUGAAGUUCAUUUCUACAACGUCGGCGGUAGCAAUAUUAGCGACGGUGCUGGCACUACUUUCAGCGACGGCCUCUAAAGGUGUCAGCAGCGACGGGAGAACUAUCACGGCCGACGUCAAAGAUUAUCCGAUCUACCGUAACGGCCAUUCUUUUGUUACGAAUGCUACGUACCGCAAGUACUAUGCGGGGACGUACGAUUGGAAGCUGACGUCGGAUCUCGCUUGCUACCCUUUUUAUCAGGACGAGGCACCGGAAUGGGGUUCGAAGUUCGGUUGGGUUGCGUACUGUCUACCCUUUAAUCAGGACGACCUCGGCCCCAAUAUUUGUGGCCAGUGUGUUCGGGUAAGUGUUCUAUUUCCCCGUAAGGUGAUUAAGAAUUGUCACGUCUCAAUAAUUCAAGUUGUCAGUAGAGGUUGAUGAUCGCUCUGUCAAAAUUUUUAUUAAUAGAAAUGUUGAGAUGGCCUAGUUGCCCUAAUGCGCCGGAUCAAGGUUUUGGUCCCAAAGGAUGUGGGUUCAAAUCACACGCCAAACAAAAAAAAUUAGGGGAAAUUUUGUGUACUAUAUUUCAACGGAAUUAGCCCAUCUACUAUGACGCUUUUACCAAACGAUCUGUUAAAUCUCCGUUAACUGGACUGAAUCAACGCCAUUCGUUACAAGAUUCGAGUUUUCGUGGUACGGUAUAGUAUUCAAUAUUGAUAUAAGAUUUUUUUUAUCAGAUUCAACAUAGGUUAAUUAUUUCGACUUCGAUUCUAGAUCCAUCCCUGAUCAUGACACCGAUCAACUAUUGAUGGAAUUGUUGGCUUUCAGUCCCGAAAUCCUGACAGUAUUGUAUGCAGAUACAGAAGAUAAAUAUGGAUUACAUAACAGCUCGAGUCGUCGACCAAUGCAAGAUACCAGGCGGCGGACUUCAGUUGGACUAUGACACCGUGUUUUUGCAGAUCGAGAAGACCGAAUCUGGGAGAGCUUCGGGUCAAGUACGAGUGGAGUACCACUUUGUAAGCUGCUUUCAAUGAGAAGCUAGCCAAAGAUGUUAUCAUCCUGAAAGAAAUUGAAAUAUUUACUAUACAAUUGAAAUGUAGUUUGCCAAACACAUUAUACCGUCAAACUUAUCGAUAUAAGAAAAAUUAUGUAUUACCGAAGUUCUAAAUAUAAAACCGAACUGAGUUAAAGACAUACAACAAAAAAUACAGACGCUCAAAAAAUAAUGAUGAUCCUUUUGAUCUUCUGGGUCCGAGCUCUGCUGCACUAACCAAUCCGAUGAAAUUAAGAGUAGAGGCUAUUAAUGAUAAAAAAAAAUUAAUGGAAUGGAAAGCAUCGGAAAGAAAACAAAUGAUAAUUCAAAGCGAACAUCAAUCUUUCCUUUUUCUUUCCGAACCCUCCAUUCCACUAAAUCCCCACUCCAAACCUAAUAAUCACCGAAGCCCCAAAUGCGAAAUAAACACACGGAUGGUGGAAAAUCAAUGGAAUGGAAGGCAUCGGAAAGAAAACAAACGAAAAAUCAAAAUCAAGUAAUAUUGUUCUUUCAAUUUUCUUUCCGAGCCCGCCAUUCCGAUGAAUCCCCACUCCAAGCCAAACAAUCAUCAACUGUCCCAAAAUGCUAUAAAGAACGGAUUGUGAAAAAUCAAUAAAAUGGAAGGUAUCGGAAAGAAAACAAACGGAAGCCAAAACUUAUCUUUCUUCUUUCAUUUUUCUUUCCGAACCUGUCAUUCCGCUGAAUCUCCACUCCAAGUCUAACCAUCGUUGACGGAUUGUGGAAAAUCAAUGGAAUGGAAGGCAUCGGAAAGAAAACCAAAUAUUGUUAUUCCGUUUUUCUUUCCGAGCCCUCCAUUCCGCUGAAUCCCACCCCAUGCCUAACGAUCAUCGAUUGCCCCCCAAAUAUGAAGAGAGAAUUGAAUAAUAUUCUGAAAGAAGCUUGAAUUUUAGGGAUUGUUGUGGUUGGGGUUUAUAUACUAACGGCCAUGGAGGCAGAUUGGAUUAGGGUUUAUCUUUUGGGAGAUGAACGAGUCCUACGGCUUCCAAAUAGGUGGGCUUUAUUGACGAGGUCAAAAGCCCAUUGAGCCCAAAAUCAAUUUGAUGAUCCGUUUGAUAUAGAAGAUUGAAAAUAAUAUCCGGAGAAAAAUUACGGACGCAUGACAACAACGAAGGUUUUAUUGUGAUCAGAAAAUUACAACUCGUAAGGAUUUACAUUUAAAAAAGUCUAAUACAACUAAACUCGAAGGGAUAAUGUUUGGCAGUCGGUGCAUAUUAAUCACCAAUGUUUAAAAUCCCAAUUGCCAGAAAUAAUAUUUUAUGUAUUUUAUUAGCAAGUUAGAAUACAAUGGAUUUUUUUGAGUUUGAGUUUAGGAUGUAAUGUUUGAGGGUUAUGAUUUAGUGUUUACGAUGUUAGCACUAUUCUCUAAUGUUUAGGGUUUACAAUAAGGACUUUAGGAUUUCAUUUUUAAAUUUCAAAUCGUAAAAAUAUAAGAUUUUUAGUAUAGAGGGUACUGAUAUCUUUGAAAUUUUUUUUAAUUUUAGAUAUAAAAAUAUAAGAUUUUUAGUAUAUAUAUGCUGAAAUCUCCUUCGAUGUGAAUUUUUUUUAAUUAAUCAAGUCGCCACAUAAGCAUCUUACUGUGCGAAAAAGAAUACGUAUUUAUCUAAUUUGACAAUAAUUCACUCCAAAAUUUGACAAUAAAUUACUUCAAAAUAUGACAACAAAUUACUUCAAAAUGCUAGUGUUGGCGGGUUAUAUGCACCGAAUGUCAAACAUUCGUGAUAUUCAUGACAUCCGAUGUAUUUUACUCGAUAUUAAGCCUGCCAGCUGCCUUGUUAAAAAAAAAGAAAUAGAGUCCACAUUUAACACGUCAUAUAUGCCUGGUUUCAACGUUACAGCCAACACAAAGUUGCGUAAUGCAAAUAAAAGUAAAAAUUCCUAGCUAGCUAGUUUGGAUCUUAUAUAAUCAAUUUAGAGAAAAUUCCAACCAUACACAUAAUUAAAAUUUAAAACAAUUUCAACCUUAUUCGUGAGGAAAUUAACCGAUGAGCGUGAACUUGUAGCGAAAUCAUUGACUAGCUCAUAUCCAAAAGGAUUGGCAGGUGGAACUGAGAUUGAAACAAAAAUCAAGCCGUGUCAAAGUACGUACUAUCGUAAUUCCCAAUUUCCCCCUUCUUGCAGUCCCUUGGUUAACCAACAUACGGUAACCAUUCGACAAAGACACAUAAGUGCUAUGAAUGGGAACGACAUGAGUCAAAAGAGUGACCACCGAGCAGGCACCGUGCGUUGUUGCGCCGAUGUCAACAACCCAUAAACGAUAGUAAGAAGGAAAAAUCGGGAAUUAUUAUAGUACCCUCGAUCAUUGAGGAUGAGAGAUAAGAACCCGAUGUAACCAUGGCUUGUAAUCGAACCGAAAAAAUACCAUCACCGUGAAAGUAACUGACUGAUUUAAUAUAAAUUUAGUGAAAAUAUCGAGUCAUCACUAUGCUGAGUCAACAUAGUUCAAUUUUGUCAUAAUAGAGUAAAACGAGGGCUUAUUUGUUAUUAUUUCAUAGUUGAUGAGCUAAAAUAGAUAUUAUCCCAGUUCUUAUCUAAGUUUGAUUCCCCUCUAUAAAUUACUUACCAUUAAUCUCACAACUUAUCCAACAUCAGGACUCAAGAGAGUAACCAUUACUUGCAACAUCUCUCACAGCUGAGAAUGAAAACUUUCUCCACCGUUUCAUUUGUUCUCGCUAUAGUAAUACUUUUCGUCACAACAUCGGUCGCUAAAGCUCGAACUAAUGGCGACGGCAAGGCGGUUUUUACUGGCAGCCGAUCCGGUUCUUUGGAUGCGGAUUUGAUGGACACCAAAAUCGGCAGUACCGGGGAAUGUAAAGCUACGUUCCACUACUACAGACCAAGGAACAUGGGGUGGAACAUGCGGGAUCCCACGGUGAACACCUAUUGCUCGACUUGGGACGCUAACAAACCGCUGUCUUGGCGCUCGAAGCACGGCUGGACCGCCUUCUGUCGGCCCAAUCUUGUACCGAUCGGGGAAUCGAUUUGUGGGAAGUGCUUAAAGGUAAGAUUUUUCGGGCUGUUUUAACAGUGAAUGGACGUAAAAACUAACUGAUGUGCUUGUUUAUUAAAAGUCAUAAACUAUAAGGUCUUAAUUCCGUCAAAAUAUUGGAAGAGGAGUUAUCUGUUAAUAUUUAUAAUAAAGGGUCCAAAAUGCGUAUUAAUUUUUCGCUCGUUAAAGGCACCGUAGCGCUUGCCUUAUAAUUAUAUGGUAUGGAUUUGUUACAUAAGAUAAGAUAAUUCUUUUGUAGUAUGUCUUUGUAGAUUUGAUUUUUUCUAAUGCACACCCUCUUCUUGACAAAUUUCCUGGCUACGCUGUAUCGAUCGAAGGUGAAAAACGUAAAGACUGGAGCGAGUACAAUAGCAAGGAUCGUCGACCAGUGCACGAAACCGGAAGGAGGACUCGAUUUGGAUGACCAGACUGUGUUUAAGGUGAUUGAUACCGAUAAAAAAGGGAUUAUUCACGGUCAUUUGAAGGUGACUUACCGGUUUGUGAGUUGCUGAAACACUGAGUAAUCACCAUCAUCAAAGAAGAAAAAUGUUUCAGGUCCCAUGGUGGAACCGACUUUCUUGUCUCACUAUAAUAAAAUAUAAUUCUACGAGACAAAUAAGUAUUUUUUCCCAUCAACUAUAGCCUUGUAUUUCAGUUUUUGUACUCUUCCUAUCCUAUAAUAUAUAAAAAAUUUGGGUUUUUUUUUGAUUUUGAGCUUUUAGUUGUAACAUAUGUUUAUCAUCGAUAGAAAUAACUAAUUAGCUAGUCAUAUGUACGGAUUAUACCUAUUGGGUUGACUUGUGAGACUCAGGAUGGGUCACCAUCGUAUAUUAAGAUAAUGUCAUAAUGAUGCAUGAGCUAUCUAAUAGUAGAAUCAGGAUGGUUAUAGACCUUUUUGAUAUAUAUAAAAGUAAACCAUGUUAACGAUUUUGUCAUUAAUAAAUUUAAAAUUUCAACUGGUUACUUAUUAAUAAGUUGGUUAUAAGUUUAAAUUCGAUAGAUUAUUUAGUCUGGACAAAAAUAAGUAAAGGAGUAAAAUUUCAAAUAUCAUUAGCUGAAUUACGAAAUUAUCGAAACUUUACAUAAAACUUAGUACUCGAGGUCUAGAAAUAGGAAAUUCGAGAUUCUCACUGACUCCUUCUAAUUUAAAAUAGGCACAUAAAAUGACUAGGUUUUAAAUAAUGAUUCGAACACUAAACAAGCUUAAAGAUGCCGAGAUUCAAAAACACACUAGACAAUAUUUAACAUAGAUAUUCGGAGUUCAUAGAUGGCCCUGGUUUGCCCGACCCCAAUUCCACCACUAGUGCUAUCUAUUAUAAACCUUUUGCCUACUUGAAUUUAGUGAAGUGUUGGCAUGAUUUUCAUGGUAACCUUCCAAAAUAAGCUAAGUAGUAAAGAAGGAUGUAAACACAUGAUACCUCAAAAGGGUAUUUCAAAGAUGCCAUUUAGCCUGCAAACUCCCUUCAUUUGUACAUUUACUAAUUGGGGGAAAAUUGAUAUUUUGCUCCCCUUAUUUUUCCAAGUUAACAUGCUGCCCCCCUUACACUCGAUUUAAUACUCUUUUGUACUAUACAUAACUUAACAAAUCGACGCUAAUUCGUUAGUUUAUUCUAUUAACUAUGCGUCGAAAUAGGUCCAAUCAGCAUUAACACGAUGGCGACAGUGAAAAAAAAAACAGCGGGCGCAUAGUGAUGAUGAAAGCUUUACUAUGAUCUAAGAAUUAUAACUUAUAGGGAUUUUCAGCAACUCGAAUAUGACAUACGACUAAACAAAAGGUAAUAUUAGAUGAACCGAGUAGUACACAACUGAUAAAUUGGAUCGCCAAAUUUCAACAACCAGGUCAAUAGCUGACUGAAAAAAUAGACGAAAAAUGGCCAGAGCACUUCAAUAAGUAAAAUAUGAGAGAAUAAUAAGUUGGUGACCAGAAUGUACGAUAUUAAUAGGUAAUGGACCAAACAUGUUAAUUACCCAACACUCUCGAAACCUAAUUCCAUGCAACCUCAUUUCAUAUUAUAGGACAAAACAGCAAAGAUGGAAUAGUUUUGCCGGUAACCUAUUUCAUUAAACUAUCAAAUGAACUUAGCUAAGCCUUCAAACUUCUCUUCUAUAAAUUCUGACCACCUCCAUCACUUCUUCUUCACUCAUCUCUUCAAACACUACCAAAUGGCGAAGGUAAUCGCAGCGAUGAAGGCGCCACUAGCGAUGCUCCUACUUCUUGUAGCUUAUGUCGGUGCAAGUCCGAUGAGGGGCAAUGUUGCUUCUAACCAAGUUGGACCCGACUGUGGUCCAACUGCGGCCUUAACAGCUGAUCCUGUCACUAUCGGCCGUGAGUUAAGCACGAAUGAAGAUCAUCGUGUUGAUGUUGUAGAUCCAGACUGUGGUCCUUCCUCUGCUAUAUUUGCUAAUGACAAGAACGAGGAGUCGAUGAUUAUAGACCGUGGAAGUAACGUGGUUGCGAAUGGCGAGCAUAAUGACACUACUGAGCCAGACAGUGGUUCAUCUGCGGCCUUAACUGUUGAUCAUGCCACUAUCGGUCGCGAGCUAAGCACGAAUGAUGAUCAUGCUGAUGUUGUGGAUCCAGAUUGUGGCCCUUCCUCAGCGGUAUUCGCUAAUGACAAGAGAGAGGAGUCGAUUAUCAUAGACAGUGGAAGUAACGAGGUUGCGAAUGGCGAUCAUACUGAUAGCACUACUGAGCCGGACUGCGGUCCUUCUGCGGCAUUGGUUGCUAGCUCGAAAAGCGAUUCGUCGAAUGGGGAUGAUAAGAAGUCAUCUAUCCUUGCCUGAAGAUGACAUCUACAUCAGUAGCAAACCCUCAUAAUAAGUGAACUGGCAUAUGGUAACUAAUAACAAUAUACAUAAGAUAGAAUAAAUGUACUUGGUGCAUGUUUUUCUUCCAAUAAUAAAGACAGUAAUAUAACGAGUUAUAUAUAAUAAUCUUGUAUGUCUCUACUUGUACAAAAAUAUGGCUAAUGUCGACCAAAAUUAUAGUACUAUAAAUCUCGAAACAACGAACCCUUCCGUCCAUUUUCCAUCCAUUUUUCCGUUAUAUCUCAAUCUGCAGAAUCGUCAGUAUCGACAUGAAACCUCACCGACAGUCGUGGUCUCUAACUCGGUUCAUUGCCAUCUCUGUUCAAGUCGUUUCCCGGCCUAUAGAUUUUGACCUUUCAUGUUGAGGUUGUUAUGGCACAACACAUGCACAUGACUUGUCGAAACCUGUGCCAAUCAAACUCCAGCGCUUUUGAGAGCUAACGUUUGGGAGCGUGUGUUGAGGAAUAAUAUAAAAAUCAAUUUGAACUCUUCUUCAAAAAAAAUCUCGAGUUAUUGAAACCCAACAACACUCAUCGCAUUGGUUUCUUAUUGUCAAUAAGGGCGGCACCUUAAGCGAUGAUGGAACUACGAUAAUCUAACCUAAGCCAUCGCUCAGGGUCCACUUAUCAAAAGCGAUGAAAGUUUAUCUAAAAUGGUUGAAAACAACGUUUAUAUCGUGUUUUUAUAUGAUUUAAAUUUGAAAUCCUAACCACUCAGACCAUUCUGAUUUUGCUAUUGACUCGCACUAUCAACUAAUCUCGAUCGGAGUCGAUCGGAGUUGGCGGUGACAAUAUAAUUUCAAUGUUAAUUAAACAAAAGGUUACCAAUCCCUUACGUAUUUGGUUUCUGGAAGCCGUAAUCAUUGAUAAAAUACUAUUAAUUACCAAUACUAAAAAUUCCGUACUAUCCAACUUAUUAUUGCAGUAAAAAAACCUAAAAGCUUUUGUCAUCAUGUAAAGUGGCCCUGCCGAAAUUAUUCAUCGCGGAAUCAGGGCCGUUGACGAGCCAAGCUGUUCGUCAGUGUUAGUAUUUAAAGUGCAUGUCCCGCAUUUGAAUUAUAUUUGCGGAGGGGUGACCUGAAGAAUCAGAAUAGCCAUUGUAGACAUCAAUGUCGGAAGCUUGUGGCAGUAUGUUAUGUGCUUAAGUUUGAAAUCGGUAUAUAAAUUUAUAACCUCUUAGACAUCCUCUCCUCACAAAUUAGCUCUUAAUUAGAACAGGAAAACACAAAAUUAUAUCCCGUGUAUAUCGUUUUGAUGAUUAUCAUACUUUUACAUUGUCUCGAAAUGGAUUCCAGAGUAGGUCUCGGUUGGAAAUGGAUUUCUUAAGAGUUUUGGAUGACCCAGUUCAAAACCCUAUAAGAGAUUUAGCCAUUCGUAGUUAGAUUUACUUUUAUUGUGAAAAAAUCAAGAUCUUAAAAGACCGUCUUAAUUUGUUGGUUAGGAUCGUCACAGAUCAAAUGAGGCCACCCAAUCAUUAUUGUUAAAUUAUAAAUACUGUUUUGCUCACUCUCAUGAAAAUAAACUAUCACAAAUUUAGAAAAAUCAAAUCAUAUAAUAUAAAAAGUAGUAACCAGAAUAUAGUAAUUUCUUAGUCAACUCAUAGAAAACAAACGAUCACAAGGUCCCCAAAUAAAAGUUGCAACUCUCAAACCAUUGAAAAUCUUAAGCUCAAAUACAUAAGUUAUAAUUAAAGUGAUAGCUGCCGUUAGAAAAAUUUUGAAAUUGUCGACUGUCAACUUAAGUGAAAUUAGUAAUGCCACUCAUUCAGAACUUUGAAUUCAUAAUCUAAAAUACAAAAUUAGGUAUGCUUCAACCACUCAGAUUACAACCUGUUUGGCAUUCCUCAGUUAGACGGCGAUGGAGUCUUGGGAUUUUGUCCGCCGCCGCCGCCAGUACACGGGCCUGACUGGCACAUCUUGCCACAAUACUUAUCCGUUUCCCCGCAGAAACCAAAGUGACUGCAGCAGUAUUUUGUAUCUUCACACUCUUUACCGCCGGCCUGACUCCCGCAGUUUGGAGUGUUGUAAUAACUGUCUUCGUGCGUGAGGUUCUUCAUUAUCGGCUCCGGUGGCGAAUAUCGUCCAUCGUCCAAUUCGAAGAAGGAUAUGCUGGGAUCUGGACCGGGGACACCGCUGCCGCCACCGGACGACGAGCACUUUCCGAAGCCCGCCUGACAGCCGUCACCGCAGUGUCCGUCAGAGAUCCCACACCAGCUACUCUGGCUGCAACAGUUGUCGCCCGAGCAACGGGCGUUGUGGCCAUCUUCGCCGCAGUCCUGACCAUUAGCGACAGAGGAAAACACUGUUGUCACGAAUAAUACCACUAUUAGGGACAGAAAUGCAGCAUCGGUCGCUGAUUUUUCCAUAUCUUUUUUUCUUCUUCUUCUUCUUUGUGUUUUUUUAUGUUUUUCUUCGGUGAUUGUUGUGCUUUCGAUAUGUGCAUGAGAUGUCUAUUUAUAACAGUUCAGGAGAAUCAAUUUUUAGCCGGCGAGCUUCAGAUGCCGACAGAAUGAGUUUAGGUUUUGUUCGGUUUUGUGUCUUCUUUUUACACCAACGAUUGGAUAUUGCGAGAUAUAUGUACAUAUUUUUUCGAUCAAUGGAUGUUAUGCUCAAAAUAUUACAAAAUGUUAGGGUGGUAUGAUUUAAUAGGAUAAACCGUGUAUUAGGGUCUAUAUUGUAAAGGGUUAAUUUGGCGAUUUUAUGUCAUAUUUAGUCUUAAAUUUCGUAUCUCGUAAUCAUGUUCUUUAUCGUAUUCAUCAUGUCUAAUGUUUAGAAUAAUUUGGGCAAGAGCGAUUCAACAUAGGGUGGUAGGCAUGUUAGGGGAGGUCCCGAUAAGAGUCAAAGUCUCUAAAUUGACCAUUUGGAAAUGCCUGCUUGAUCUUAGAGGGCCUAGUUGGAAUCGAAUCGCUUAGGAGCUCUUGGAAGACCGCCUAGAAGCCCACAAGGGACUUAAACCAUCGAUAUUAGAUCUUCGCACGGACCGUAAUAUAUGGUAAAAUCCUACUGGACCGUCUCAUUAAUGGUCAUCAUCGCGUUUGCUCGCUUUGUUGGACAAUAACACAAGUCUGCUCGCUUUGUUGGAUCUAAUUGUCAUGAAUUUAGAGAGAAUAACUACAAAGUUGAACUAGAGGACAACAUUAAAAUUCCAUGAGUGUAGACCCAAAAUGUUUUAAUUUAUUGUCAAUCCUAGGCAAACAUGGCUGAACGACAACACACGAAGGGUCACUUGUCGUCUUCAUACGUGUCCUAGCUAGGUCUCACAAUAUCCAACAUAAAUGAGCUGGAAAUGUUUCUUAAACGUAACCUUAACGUAAAUUAAGUGCUCUUCUUUGUCUCUUCUUGUUCAUAAAAAUCAAAAAUGAAGAGUUAAAUAUCUCUACAAUAUAAUUCUAAUAAAUCUUUGAUAAAUAGAUUCAACGAGAAUUUCAACUAGUUCCAACGACUGUCGAAUUUCAUAUUAACUAGUUCUAAUAGACAACGUUUGUUCAAGCCGGUUUUGCUGGAGGAAUAUUGUUGAUAUUUCGCUCUCUUCUUUUUUUCUUCCGGUGUUGAGCUCUUCUAACAAAUCCUUUAGAUCGUUCUGAUCAUAUCGAUCGUUACUCAUCCUGCUAAAUAACAGGGUACAAAUACUGUCUUCCUCGCUUUGUUGUGAAAACAGUCGAUCUCAUAAAUUCGAAAAAAUGUUGUUAUUAAUUUCUCAUUUCUCUUCCCUAAUCACACCUCAUUUCUUAUUUCACCACAUUGCAUUAUAUUACUCAAUCUGGAAUUUGAGUAAGGUUGGACCACACGAUCUCAUACUCGUAACCUCCUAUUGUCCAUUUCAUGUUGUCGAGAUCUCGAUCGCCAAGCUUUGAUUCAUUGUUUAUGUCGUUUUUUAUCGAAAAACCUUGUCUGCAUGCUUAUUUCUAGAACAAGUAAUGCUUCUCUUGAAUUUAUUGACUUUGUCCCUCAUCGGAUUCUUUCGAUUUUCUUACUGAAGCAUACGUUAUGAAGCUGGCAAUGCCUUUAUUUCAGAGGUCCUGACCUACCUGAUUUGACCUGACUAGUUAUCCUCAUUUCCAAAUGCAGGUGUUCAAAAGAUUUAAAAGAAAAUUAAAAAAGGUGUUUACACUGACCGUUUCAAUGAAGUCACGAUGGAGGGUCGAGAUUAAUUGUAUGUAAAAAAAGUAAAGAGUGGCCAUUGAAUUAAUGGAUUAUGGUGUCAAAUGGAUGGUAGUAAUGAAAUUGAGGAAAGUUAAAGGCCAAAUGGCAUAGCAUUGAAAGAUAAGAGCCAAAUGGAUGGUAUCAUUGGUACAGUACAAAAUAGCUAGCAUACCAAUAUUAAUUAGUACAUUUCGGUUUCAACGUUCCAGUGAUCACAGAGACUCGUCGAAUGGUGACCGGUUAAAAUAUCUGAUAGGUCUCGUAACUAUUAAUCGUGUUACCUACUUACUAGUUCUGAAACUUUCAAAUGGCGCACACCAGUUUCAUAAUUUGUAAUUAAGAAUGAUUCUGAUCCGCUCAAUUUGUAAUUUACGAGACUGAUGAUUAUACACAACGUUAGCAGUUUCAAAAACAAAGUUACAAGAUAAAUUAGAUAUGCGAUCGAUCAAAAAACUAAUUAUUGAGAGUUUUUUUAUAACAUUCAUCCUUCAAACUAAUUAUUGCAGCAUGGCCAGUGCAACACUGAGUGAGUAAUAACUGAACCGUCUGUGUUAAUAGUAACUCCAUUGCUUGAACCAGCUUUCUAAUCGAACUGAAUCUCCUCGCACGAACAUAUAUUAGUAGGAAGAGCCUUCACACCCACUUUCAUUGUCCCCUUAACUCUGACGAUCAUGUUAAGGCCGCUCGUAGACGAAGCUGAUCGAAGAAAAAAAUGUGAAACCCCUAAAAUAGCCUCGUCGCGAUUUUUCCAAAGGAGCCCGCAAGUCAUACCAAAUUCCAAACAUGAAAUUGAUAUCCGGAAAUUAAUUACUAAUUGAUUGCACUCUAAUUAGACGGCUAUAAAUACUAACAUGGACAGUGCAACACUUCACUCAUAACUUGGAAGAAAAAAAACACCACUAUCAAACACCAAUGGCUUCCUCUGCUUUUGCACUUGCUUCCACCUUUAGGGCUCCCACGGCCCCGAUGGUUUCCUCACCGUCGGCGAAGAUCAGUACUACUACUCCGCCGACGGCUGCCCAUUUCCUCAAACAUACUACUGGUAAGGGAGGCGAUCAGAGUGUUAACCCCUGGCGGUUUCCCGUUUUUGGAAAGACAUCUCAUCACUCUGCCGGAGGUGACCAGGUUAACGGGCCCUGGCCGCUCCCCAUCUUCGGCAACUCUACAGGAGUUGACGGUGGCUACGUUCAGCCCUUUUUCGGUUGAUAAGUACUCUACCGUCUCGACGAUGUUGUUGUUGUUGCUGCUGUUGUUGUUGCUGCUGUUGUUGUUGUUGUCGUGGUCGUCCUAAUGAAUAAUAUCCUUUCUAUUAAGGGUAGCUCUGCUGUUGUCCUCAUGAACAACAUCGCCAUAUGAUGUAACCUUGUGUUGUGUUCCAUCUAAUAUAUAAUAAAAAGAUAUUUUCUGUGUUAGCAGUUUAGCUAUACAAAAAUUAAUGCUGGAAGUUUAGUGAUUCAAAUCGUGUUAAACCGGUCGGGUCAGCAGGCUUUGCACUCAGCUGAGU